AUCACCUUAAAAAUUAUAUUUAUAUUGAAGCAGACAAGGAAGCCCAUGUGAGAGAGGUGUGCGAUCUUUUAUUCUUUUGCUUUAAUUUUUGGAUGGAUAUUGUAGCCUUAGAUGUCUACAUAUAUUUCUGUUGACCAAUUUUGAUCAGCUUCAGGCUGUGAAAGGUCUGCGUACCAUAUUUGCAGCAAAGAUUAUGCUUGUUCCAAUAAGAGAAAUGACUGAUGUUUUAUCAGUGGAAAGCAAAGCGGCUGAUCUUUCUAGAGAUACCUGGGUCAGAAUGAAGAUUGGGACAUACAAGGGUGAUCUUGCUCAAGUAUGCCUUUUGUCUUUUUCUACUUUCAUGAAUAUUCCCUUUUGAAAAAUCUUAGUCUGACUGUGUAAUUUCUAUUUCAUAGGUGGUUGAUGUGGAUAAUGUGCGGCAGAGAGUCACUGUGAAAUUGAUUCCUAGGAUUGACUUACAGGCUCUUGCUAAUAAAUUGGUAUGGAAUUGAUUGCAUUUGUUUUAGGUGUUUAUCUCAUGGAUUGUGCAUGUUGAAAGCCUUACAAUAAGAUAGUGUUUUAAUUUUCCAAUGCAGGUAUAGUUUGUUAGUUGUCUAUAUAUGAUUGUAUUUUAACUGAUUUACAUGAACUAUUUGGCUUUCUUUCCUGGUUCCAUCAUCUUUGAUCUGGUCUUAUACUGUUUCAUACAGGAAGGAAGAGAAGUUGCAAAGAAGAAAGCUUUCGUCCCUCCUCCUCGUUUUAUGAAUGUUGAUGAAGCUAGGUAGGUUAAAUGGUUCCAACCUCUAGUGAAAAAUCUACCACAUUUAUUUGUUUCAGAAAACUUAAGCUCACAUGUCUUGAUAUUUGUGCUUUUUUUAGGGAACUUCAUAUUUGUGUAGAGCGCAGACGAAAUUCGAUCACUGGUGAUUACUUUGAGAAUAUUGGGGGCAUGUUGUUUAAAGAUGGGUUCUUGUACAAAACGGUGUCGAUGAAGUCAAUUAGUGCUCAUAACAUAAAACCAACGUUUGAUGAACUCGAAAAGUUUCAGACACCUGGCAAUAAUGGAGAAGGUGAAAUGGUUGGUUUAUCAACUUUGUUUGCAAACAGAAAGAAAAACCAUUUCUUGAAGGGUGAUGCAGUUAUUGUUGUCAAGGGAGAUCUGAAAAUUUUAAAGGGAUGGGUUGAAAAGGUUGAGGAAGAGAAUGUCCAUAUUAGACCGGAAAUGAAACUGUAAGAAUUCAGUCAAUAUUGGUAUUCUUUGAGUUAAGUCUUUGAUCACUAGUGUGCAUGUAAGAUAUCUUAUUGCUAGGUCAUACUUGGCCUUCAAUGAUGUUUUUCAGAAAACUCUUGCUGUUAACGAAAAAGAGUUGUGUAAGUACUUUGAGCCUGGGAAUCACGUGAAGGUUGUUUCUGGGACGAAGGAAGGUGCAACCGGUAUGGUUGUCAAGGUUGAGCAGCAUGUUCUCAUCAUUUUAUCUGAUACAACCAAAGAACAUGUAAGUAAUACAUCUUUUGAAGUCUGGUCCAGACCUAAAGAAUAUCUUUGUGGAAAAAUAAUUGGCAUUUCUUAUAUUAGAUCCAUGUUUUUGCUGAUGAUGUCGUUGAGAGCUCUGAAGUAACUACUGGUGUUACAAAAAUUGGGGACUUUGAGCUUCAUGACCUUGUGCUACUAGAGUAAGUAGUUUUUCGCUGAAGGAUUUGGACUUGUCUUUAGUUAAUUUGGGGUCUUAAGGUAUUAAUUAUGUUUCAGUAACAAUAGCUUUGGAGUAAUUAUACGUGUAGAAAGUGAAGCAUUUCAGGUGAGUGACCUCUCUUAAGUGACCGGAUUUUCACUGCUACUCUUUUGACUGUUCUCAUGGUCGUUUACUUUCUUUUAGGUUCUUAAGGGUGUUCCAGAGCGGCCAGAGGUUUCUCUUGUCAAAUUGAGGGAAAUCAAAUGCAAGCUUGACAAAAAAUUUAAUGUGCAAGACAAAUAUAGGAAUCCUAUUUCUGUGAAAGAUGUGGUUAGGAUACUUGAGGGUCAUUGUAAAGUAAGAUUCUCGUUUUUCAUUUUGGUUUGUCCUAGUAUUCACUUUAUGAAUUUUUAGUUUACUAACCAUCCACUUCUAUAAAUUUAGGGGAAACAAGGCCCUGUAGAGCACAUAUACAAAGGAGUUUUGUUCGUGUAUGAUCGACAUCACCUUGAGCAUGCUGGGUUUAUAUGUGUUAAAGCUGAUUCUUGUUGUAUAGUGGGAGGAUCACGUUCCAAUGGGAACAGAAAUGUUAGUCUUUUCUUUUCAUUUUUUCGCUGGUUAAUUCAUGUGUAAUUAACACCAUUUAAUUGAGGUAGUGAACUUGAUUCAAUCUUUUAGGGUGAUUCUUUCUCAAGAUUUGGUAGCUUCAAGACUCCACCACGUGUACCACCAUCACCAAGGAGAUUUGCUAGGGGAGGUCCUCCAUUUGAUUGUAUGUUGGUUUUGUCAUUCUUGUUUGUACAAACAUGGUUUUUGGAUUUGUCUGAAUUUUCAUUUUCUCUAGUUAAGUGAUUAAGUUUCAGUAUAAGCUUGAUGCUAUUAGUUUCUGCCUAUUCAAAACAGCCAGCGGGAGACACAGAGGUGGAAGAGGAGGGCAUGAUGCUUUGAUUGGUACUACUGUGAAAAUUCGACAGGGUCCUUUUAAGGGUUACCGUGGACGUGUUGUAGAUAUUAAAGGUCAAUCAGUUAGAGUUGAGUUGGAGUCUCAAAUGAAGGUUGUUACAGGCAAGUUCAGGUUAAUGUUCGAAAUGUUUUCUCCUUUUCUCUAGCAUCUUUAUGACUUAUAGAACUUGUUCAUGUCUGCAGUUGAUCGCAAUUUUAUAUCUGAUAAUGUGGUUAUUUCAACACCCACUCGGUAAAUAUGAUUUCCUUGGCAUCCAUUUUGUUGUUUCUUGACUAUGAAAGCUCUCUUCUUACGUGUUCUGAUGUUGUAUGUUUUAUUUUUUCACCAGUGAUACAUCUCGAUAUGGUAUGGGAAGUGAAACACCUAUGCACCCUUCACGAACUCCUUUACAUCUAUAUAUGACUCCUAUGAGAGAUCCUGGAGGUACCUUUUUUUUCAUGUAUUUAGUGUUUUCUUGUGCUUUUCAAGUGUGGAUACUUCCAUUAAUAACUGAUAUUGUUAUAUACUAGGACCAUAGUAAUUGGUUACUUUUAUGUUCUCUGUAGCAACACCAAUCCAUGAUGGCAUGAGAGCACCUAUGCGUGACAUGGCAUGGAAUCCUUAUGCACCAAUGAGUCCACCCAGGUUUAUUUGUAGAUUCCAUUUAUUGAGUGCAUCCUGCCUCAGUGGUUUAAUCAUGCCUGGUUAACGAUUGGUUUUUUAUUAUUAUUAUGACUGCAAAUUAGGGAUAAUUGGGAGGAAGGAAAUCCUGCCUCUUGGGGAACUAGUCUGCAGUAUCAGGUUAGAUUUCUUCCACAGUUUGGUGCCAUUAGUGAUAUAGCUAUUUUUCCUAACUGAAAGUAUAUGAAUUUGAUUCGUUCGUUGUGAAAUAACUGUAAUGCUGUUCCUUGCAGCCUGGAAGUCCUCCUUCAAGGGCAUAUGAAGCACCUACUCCUGGUUCAGGUUGGGCUAGUACUCCUGGUGGUAAUUACAGUGAGGCUGGAACACCAAGGGAUAGCAAUUUGGCUUAUGGUAAUUAUAUUUUGGCUUACUUUUGCUAUUUGAAUGUGUUGAUGUUCUUUAGUGUUGCACUGUUGCUCAUAUUGUAUGUUUGUUUCAGCCAAUGCUCCUAGUCCUUAUAUGCCAUCAACUCCCAGUGGGCAGCCUAUGACGCCAAGUUCGGGAUUCUAUAUUCCAGGUACACCUGGAGGGCAGCCAAUGACACCUGGAACUGGCGGUCUUGAUAUUAUGUCUCCUGUAAUAGGUACUUUUUCUGUCUCCCCCACCUGUUUUUUUUAGAAUACUGAACAUUUUUUAUUUGGGUCAUUGCCUGGAGGUUCUGGAUGUUUUUAUGGGAUUUAAAUUUUAUUUCCCAUAUAAUUCAUUAAUUCUUUUUAUACCUGAUCUGUUUUGGUGACAAAUGCUGAAUAACUUACCUUUUUGAUCAGUUCUUAAAAUUUCUUUUAUUAGUUCUCUGUUGUUAAUCUUGGAACCCAUUUUGAGUUUGUACCUGAUCUGUUUUGGUGACAAAUGCUGAAUAUGCUGAAUUUUGACAUCUGAAGCCCCAAUGCCGCAGCAAUGUCGUAGCAUCGAGCUUGACAGGAAGAGAUUGAGAAGUUCACACUUAAAGAACAUCACAUCAGCUUUUGGGCUUAACCCAUCUCUUAACAAAUGUUGAUAAUGACCAAUAAUAAAAAAGAAUAGGCUAUGAGAAAAUAUAAAGGCUCAAACACUCUCAAGAGGAGAAAAUUAGAAUAGGACAGUGAGUUAACCUAGUCCACAAUCUUUUGGGGGAUAUAAAUAUCACACUUUGAGAAAAUAAAGAGGUGAGACCGUCGGGUGCAAAAAAAAAACAGAACAUCAAUUUUCAGAAGGCAGCACGUUGGAGAAGAAGAGGAUCCGAAGAAGGAAAAAAAGAGAAGAACGACUGGAGGAGAACCACAUCAUUCGGCUUAUCAUCUCUUCACCUUUCUCUUUGCCUUGUAAUCAUUUUCCUUUGCUAAUUUGAACCAUGGCUGAGUUUUGCUUGAUUGUUUUUAAUUUGAUGAUUAUGGACUAAAUAUUUAUUAGCUAGAAUAAUUAUGGAACCCUAAUAUGAGAUUAUUGGUAUUUUGAUAAGUAUGCUUGUUGCAAUAUGAUGUUUAUUCAUUUAAGUGUUAUUCAUGUUUAAGACUUGCUAUUGCUUGAUCAACAUUAAUGGGUAAUUGAGUUAAUUGUUAAUUCUGAAAAGGUUGUGAUUAAUGAACAUAAAACUUGAAUAGUGCAUGUUUAGUUUCUUUAUUUUUAUAUGUGUAAUGAUAUAGACAUAUAUUGUUACAGUGCAUAAUCCUGUAAGAAUGGUGCUUGUAGUUGUAUUCUUGAAAUUAAUUUGGCAUAGACAUAUGUUAAAUUAGUUAUAGGAUUGAACAUAGUGACUUCGAGAGAAGCCUAUAAACUGUCGAUUUCAGAUUAAUAAAUUGUCGCAUUGUCGCAGCAUCAUUACCGGUAAUUGCAUGUUAGGGGGAAAUAAUUAAUCUGGCUCUUCAAUUCAUUGAUGUUAAUUUGUGUUGCUAUUUUUAAAUUUAUUUGCAUAUUUAUUUGAAUUUAAUCAAUUUUUUAUUUACUUUCCAAAUUGUCAUUUGUUAAUUUUGCAAUUAAUGUUUUAAAAUCAGUCCAUGUGGAAACAGUAACUCUAGUAUUUACUAUUAUAUUACUUGCUAACGAUUGUGUACACUUGUAGUUAGAGGUCGGGAAAUCAAUCGUGAUGGCUCAAUCACAAGGGGUAGACAGUGAAGAGAAAAUGAUCCAAUAGUACAUCGUCCCCAUUGAGUUUCAGGUAAAAUUUCGAGGACGAUAUUUCUAAAUGGGGGAGAAUUGUAAUGACCAAAUUUUUAUUGGUACCGGAAAUUGUUGUUUCAGAACCUCAUUCCAUAAACUGAGUCUCUAAAUAUUAAAUAUGAAUAUUUAUGGAGCUUAUAUAAAAAUAUAUUAAAGAUUGAUUUAAUAAAUUUGUUGAAUUAAUAGUUAAUUAUAGCCCAAUGACUAAAUUGUAAUGUUCACUCUCUAUAGAUUUUUAAUUAGGAAAUGGCUUGGGCACUUAAAUUGCAAUUAUCCAAAGGACCAAAAUGAUUAAUCAUGUGCUAGUGGACAAUAAUGUGUGUGUUAAUUAAUUUAAGAAAUUGAAGAUUAAUUAGUUAAGUAAACAUAAUUAAUUAAAUAAAUUAAGCUUAAUUAACCUUUAAGCCAUAAGCCAUGUAUAAAAGCUAAAGUAACUUAAAAAGGUUUCCUUACCUUUCGACUAUAACUUGGUAAGUAAAUUUAAGUCAUUUUCUUGUAAUUUUUGUAGAUUUAAGGUCAUGAGAGCUUGAUUUAGCUAGCCUAUGUACUAAUUUUUGAAACUGUUAAAGUUUUAGCAAGUUUUCAUUAUUGAUUUCUUGAAGAAUUAGGUGUGGAAUUGAUUGAAAUUAAGCUUAGUUUAUGGAAAUGACUAAAUUGUAAAGCUUAAUUAUUGAUUUCGUAUAUUAGGGAUUAAAUUGAAUUAAAUGCAAAAAUAUUAUGAAAUUUUGUUAGGAAUAUAAAGUAUAGGGUCACUAAUGAAUAUAUAUGAAAUCUAGUUUUAAUCUGAGGCUAGAAAUUAAAAGAUAUGUUUAUUCCGAAUUUAGGGACUAAAUGGAAUAAAUUGAAAAAUAUGCAUGAAUUGGUAAUUGGUUUUGAAUUGGCUGAAAAUUUAUAUUGAUAUAUGUUUUAUGAUCAUAUGUAGCUAACGUCGGCAUUGGGUCAUCGAAAGGGAAAGUGAAAGCAAGAGUCGUUGACGAGUGACACGAGACCCCUAGUUUGUAUUUCUAUGGUUCAGGAUCAAUUUAAUUACUGCAUAUUCAUGACAUUUUGCAUUAUAUGGUGUUGAGGUGAGUUGUCAAUGGUUAUUUGAAUUGAAUUGCUGUAGUUGAGAUUUAAUAUCGAGAUAUUGACCAAAUCGAAUAAAAUGAAAGAUGAUAUGAAUUAUCUUGAAAUGUGAUAUAUGUUAUGGAAGUUGAGUAGAAUAUGUGUAAAAUAUGAAUAUAUGUGUUUAGAAAAUGAAAUGUAUCGUGGUUAUGAAUGUGAUUGAGUGCAUGUAUUAGAUUAAAUUGUAUAACGAUAUUGAAUGUCAAAACUCUGUACUGGUUGAAUAUUCGAAAAAUGAGUACAACACAGUAUGUUGAAUGGUAUGUAAUGUAUGAAUUAUAUUGAUGGUGAGAUUGAAUUGUGAUAUAUGGUUAUAAUGUAUAUUGAUUCGAUGUUACCUUAAAAACAAUCUCGAGUACCGUUGAAUUAGUUGGCAUGCCUUAGGUUGAAAACAAUCGUUGUCGAGCUAUUCGGGAUGGUAGGAUAAGUAAUUUGUGAAAACCAUCAUUACUGGGCCAGCCGGGAUGGGUAAAUGUAAGAAUAGUGAAAGCUAUCGUUGUCGGACGAUCUAGGAUGGUAGAAUAUUGGAUUAGAGAAUCAUCAUUUUCGGCCCAUACGGGAUGGUAGUAUAUUGAAAUAGAGUAAACCAUUGUUUUUGAGCCAUCGGGGAUGGUAAUAUAUUGUAUAUUUUGAACCAUCAUUACCGGGUCACCCGAGAUGGUAUAGUGAAUAUAAAUAGCAAAAGUCAUCAUUUUCGGGCCACGCGAGAUGACAAGAAUAGUAUAAAAAGAUAUGGGAUGUUGAUAAAUUAGUAUAUUAUGCUUAUAUGUGUGUUAUGAUAGAUGAGGUGUGUAAAAUACUAUAUGAAUCAGUUGAAAACGAGCCCUGGGGGCCAAACGAAUAUGAAUGAGUCGAUAGACUUCAGAAAGCGAUUGGAUGGUGGGUUAGACAAUAUAUAGAUGUUAAAUGAAAAUAGAAUUGAAUGUAUUGGAAAUGGUUUAUAGAUAGGUAUUUGAUAAAUGACUUGAAUUGAUUUUACCAUUGAUAUUAUAUACCUUGUGAUUAUUUACUAAUGCAUAUGUUAUUUUAUCUUAAUUCAUGGAAUUACCACUGAGCGUUUUCGCUCAGCGUACGGUUUGUUUUCUCCGUGCGCAAGUUUAGUAGAUUUUCGAGAGUGCUAUAAGUAGAUCCAACAUUUAGGAGGCGAUCCCCGACUCAACAAAGUUCAUAUAGUUUCGUUUCGUUUCAAAUAUGGCAUGUACCUAGGUCGAGUCAAUUUACGGUCAAAUUGAUGAUUUUGUUGUAUUGAGGCUUGAAUAGAUAGCUUGAAAAUGGUUAAAUGAUGGAGAUGCAUAUGCGAAUUGGCUUGCAUAAUUGGUUGUAUGAAAGUUGGUUAUUUUGGUAACUUAUGUAUGAAUGUAUGUAUAACAAAUUGCUUAAUAUAUGGUAGAUGGUAUAGUUGUUUAACUAAUAUAUGUGUUUAGGUAGUUUAAAGACAUAAGUGAUAAAAUAUUCUAGGAUUGAACCUUUGUAAAUGGUAUGGUUUGGUUGACUUGGUGCAUUGUAAUUAAAAAGAACUACUAUUUUAGGUGUAACUCAUUGGAGCUAAUUGGUACAUUGAGAAUCAACAUGUCACGUUGCAGCGUCAAGUAAGUGACGUCAUGACGAGAUCAAGCCACCAUGCCACAACCCGACGUUGAGCAUGGGUCGUUACAAUAAGGAGCCAAGUCAGUAUUUGGCAUCGCGGCAAGGAACCCUCGACAUCGCGAUGUCAACUUCGAAUUUUGUAAAUAUUAUAGUUUAGUCCUAAUUCACCCUCGAGUUAGCAUUAGAGCUUUUGCAAGCUUUUAUAACCAAUAAAGUAAGCAAAUUUAACUUCAAUAGUAAACUUUGAAACCAAUCAAAAUCUAUUAAUAGCAAAAUUUGAGAGUGGAUCUUAUUUUCCAGGUGUACAACAGGUAUAUAACCAAGGACUUUUUCAUACAUAAGUUUUCUCACUUGCAAGUUCUCAUCAGUAUUAUUUUUCCACAUAAUUUUAAUUGAGAACUUAUUCUGAAUAGAGUAGAGUUAUACUUACAGUUUUAAAACCUUGCAACUUCAGGUACGUCCAACUAUAAUGAACUUUAGAUAGAAUUAUCAUAUUUUAUUGCUCAUAACUAGAUUGUUAGAAUUAAGUGACUCGAAUCCUUAUUUAAAUAAAAUACAGUGGUAAAAUAAAAUAAAAGCAAAAUCCAUAUAGAGCUACACUUCUUUUCUUUUAUUUUAGAAUAAGGUUUUUUAAACAUUAUUAAACUCCAUCUAUUUGAUAUUGAUUAGAAUAAGGUGUUUCAAUCUUACUACACUUCUAUUAUAAUAUGGUUUUACAAGCCUAUAAAUAGACAUAGUCUACUCCUCUUGUAAUCAUUUGAAUUUGACAAUGUGAAUUUUCUUCUCCUCUGUCCGUGAUUUUUUUUCCCGAAAGGGUUUCCACGUAAAAUCUGUGUUCUUUAUUUUUUAUUUCUCUUUUCUUUGUGAUAUAUUGUCAUUAUCGACAUUCUAUUUAUUUUACAGAUUGGUAUCUAAGCUACCAGGUUGUUCAUCUCGAUCACGGUAAUGACAUCUUUGAAGUAUGAAAUUCCGUUGUUGGAUCGUAACACCAGAUUUGUGUUGUGGCAUAUUAAGAUGCAAGCAGUUCUUGCAUAGAUGGAUUUGGAGGAUGCCCUGCUAGGGAUAAAUAAGAUGCCUUCGACAUUAACGAAUGAAGAGAAUGAGCGUAAGGAUCGAAAGGCAUUAACACAAUUACAUCUACAUUUGUCUAAUGAAAUUUUGCAGGAUGUGAUGAAGGAGAAAACCACCGCUGCAUUAUGAAAGAAGCUGGAACAAAUAUGUAUGUUGAAAAUACUAACCAGCAAGCUGCAUAUGCAACAGCGUCUUUAUACUUAUCAUUUGGAGCAAGGUGCGUGUAACACCCUGAACCCGAGUCCGUCACUGGAUUAGGGUUACUAGGUAUUACCAAACAGAUUACAGCUCAAAACAGACAUUCAUUUCAACUUAUGAUCGUAAAUUAACCCUAUCAAUACAUUUAGCCCGUUUAAAUUUUAGAUCUCAAAUCACCCAUACUCAUCUCAUUUGCGUUUAAAAAAAUUAUUACCUAAGCUUAAACUAAUAUAUAACGUAUAUCAUGUAUAUUAUAAUUACUACGCAGUAUCACCUAGCAUAUAAACUCCAACAUAUUCAGCCUAAAUAACCUUAACAAAUGGUCAUGUAUGAAAUUUUUAAGCUUCAAAAUCAUGCACUCAAAUUACAAAUUUCAUAAUCAAGCCAAACCACAUUUAUUUAUUUAUUCACCUCAUGAACUAUUCAAAUAGCAUACUAAUCAAAAUUUAGCCAUUCACACGGCCUAGUAGCGUAUAUUUUUACACAAAAACCAUCAUUAGAAAAAAAAGAGACCAAAUACACCACUUCAUUCAUCAUGCGAUUAUGCGCUUAUGAUCAUUUUAUUUAAGCAAAUUUCUUUCACCUAUAUUGAAACAUAUCAUACCAUCACGAACCUAAUCAUAGUAAUUCAACCUUAAGUGAUUACAAUACUAGCAUAUACAUUUACCUUCACUAAUGAAUAUCCAAAUUCACGUACACAUCAAAUACUAACUCUCAAAUUAUUUCUAAUAUAAAAUUUCCUCAAAUUAUAACACCAUAACAAAACCAUCAAUCAAACAAACAUAGAAAAUGCCCAUUCUUGCAUUAGACAACCGAACUUAUAUAAUCAAAAUUCCAACAAAUAUAUAUAUCAUUUUUACAUUACUAAACUAAAUUAUAAAAAUAUCCACCAUUCAAUAUUUAUUCCACAACUCAUAUUUCCAAAAUUAACUGACUAUCAAACCAAGUUUUUAAUCUACAUAUCAAUUCUCCAUACCGAUUUAUAACCAACAUCUCAAUCAUAUAUAAAUAAAUAAAUAACCUACUUUCAUAAUAGUAUCAAGUUCUAGCCAUAUAUGGACAAACUUUAACAUUAUUACCAAACUAUAUAACCAAACACCAUAUAUGUAUACCAUGAAAUCCACUUCUAUAAUAAACUAUUGCCAUGACCGAAUAUGCAUAACAUUAAUAUCAAAAUUAGGCCAUUUUCGCAUGGCUAAAUAUCUACAAUUCAAAACAAAGCAUAUCAAGCUAGACUACACAUGCCAUAUGAUAUAAAUAAAAGUUUUCUUUCAAGGUACCAAAAUAGAUAGCGAUGGUGUGAUGAUGUUCCUCAACAAUCCCGAGCUCGAGCUAGCUUUCAAAAAAAAUCUAUAAAACAAAAAAUACACAUACAAAGUAAGUUUGGAAAGCUUAGUAAGUCAUAAGUAAUUAAAUUAACAAACGAACAUUAAUAUGGUUAUUUCAAGUAGGCCGAGUACUCCCAAUCUCAAACACAUGCAUUUAUAAUCAUAUUUAAACAAUUAGUUCACAAUUUCAUAUUAUACAACAACACCUACCUUUAUUAUCAAACUUUAUAUAAACUUAAACAUACCUGAAUCAUUUAAUUCAAACUUACAUUCGGUUUUUACCGUACCAUUUCCCGUUGAACCGUUCGGAAUCAAAUAGGAUACUCAGAUAACUCGAAAAGCUUGUACAAUGCCAACGUCCCAGACGUGGUCUUACAUGUAAUCAAAUAUCGAUACCACUGUCCUAGACAGUGUCUUACACGAAAUCAUAUACGAUGCUAAUGUCCCAGACAUGGUCUUACACGUAAAUCUCAAAUCGAUGCCAACGUCCCAAACGUGGUCUUACACGAGAUCACAUAUCAGAAUCCUAUGUCACUACAUAUGUAUCCUAUUUAUUCCUAUGGUUCAUACGGGGCUUUCGGACGUCGUAAUUUGAUCGAAUCGAGCUCGUAAUUAAUUCUCCCAUGCUUAUAUCAAAUUCGGCAUUUACCCAAAUAUAUUUAAUAAUUCAAUUCAGAACUUAUAAUUUAUAUAUAUUCGAUAUUAACAGCAUGUAUUUACUUAUGAACUUACCUCGGAUGAAGACGAACUGACCGAGACGACUAUUUGACAACUUUUGAUUUCCUCUUAUCCAAAUCCAAUUUCUCCUUUUCUUGAUCUAAUAAAUUCAAAUUUGGCUAUUUAAUAACACAUUUCAUUCAAAUUUAUUCCAAAAACAUAUAAAUGGGUAAUUUUCAUUUUAGCCCUUAACAUUUUACAUUUUUCAUAAUUUAGUCCCUAUUUCACAAAACACAAAAUACACAUACUUUAAAAAUAUCCUAGCUUGGCUGAAUAUUCCUAUAGCUCAUAUAAGCCCACAUAUUUCAUUUAUUUUACAUUUUAGCCCUUCAAUUUUUUAUUUUCACAAAUAAAUCCCUAAUUUGGAUUUUUAUCAAAAAUUACUUAACAAAAUUUAAUAAUCUAUCAACAAAUAUUUAUUUUUCAUCAUCAAACAACAAAAACAACAAUUUCUCAUCAAUGGAAAUUCACAAAAUACACAACCAAUUCAAAAAUUAGGACACGAGCUAGCUAGAAUACGAAGCAACGAUUUCAAAAAUAUGAAAAUUAUCAAAAAAACAAGCAAAAUACAUACCAAAUUUUAGCUUCCAAAGUGCAGAAUGCUUAAAACACAAAAUGUGUUUUUUUUUCUUCAACUUUCGGCAAGAACAAAGCCAAAUGCAUGGCAUUUUGUGUUUUGUUUUAUUUAAUAUUAUGUUAUUUACUAAUUACUAUUUUAAUCUUAACUAAUUCAUUUAAAAAACCAUAUGUCCAUAAAAGUCCACUCAUACUUUCAUUGGUAUAAUAUCAACAUAAGGACCCCACAUUAGAAAAGCCAUAACAAUAAAGCACUUUAACAAAUAGCUAGCCACUUUUGCAUUUUACGCGAUUAAGUCAUUUUUUGCAAAUUGGCGCAAACGAUAAAAUUAAUUUACGAAAAUUUCACACAUUUCAAUUCACAUACUAUAAGCAUGAAAAACAAUAUUAAAAUAUUUUUCUAACUUGGAUUUGUGGUCCCGAAAUCACUCUCUGACUAAGGUCUAAACUGGAAUGGUACAGUGCGUCUGUGUAGGAACACUUAACAAUGUUUAAAUAAAUUCUCUCAAACUUGGAGGACAUGGAGGUUCAGUAUGAUAAGGAAGAUCGAAGGUUGAUUCUACUUUGUUCGUUGCCCCCGUCUUAUUCAACCUUUAGAGACACGAUUUUAUAUAGCCGCAAGUCUCUCAUAGUUGAUGAGGUUUAUGAUUCUUUGACCUCGUAUAAUAAGAUGAAACAUCUUUUGGUUAAACCCGAGUCUCAGGGAGAGGGUCUCAUUGUUCGUGGGAGACAAGAUCGAAAUGCUAGUGAUGAUCAUGGAAGGACAUAGGAACGAAAUCCUCGCGGUAAAUCUAAAGGUAGAUCAAAGUCUUCAAAUAGAGGUAAAACUUUUAACUUCUGCAAGAAAAAAAGGGCACAUUAAAUCUAAUUGCUAUAAGCUGCAGAACAAGAUCAAAAGGGAGAUUGCAAAUCAAAAGGGAAAACAACCAAAAAAAUCCAUUGAAGCUGAUGUUGUAAAAGACUACAGCGAUGGUGAACUUCUAGUCGCUUCUAUCAACAAUUCUAAAGUGAGCGAUAAGUGGAUCAUUGAUUCGGGCUACACCUUCCACAUGAGUCCCAAUUAGGAUUGGUUUACAACUUACGAAUUAGUGUCCGAAGGUGUUGUUUUGAUGGGAAAUAAUGCUUCGUGUAAAAUUACAGGUGUUGGAACGAUUAAAGUUAAGAUGUUUGACGGAGUUGUCAGAACACUUAGUGACAUGCGACAUGUUCCAGAAUUGAAGAGAAAUUUAAUUUCGUUGAGUACUCUUGAUUCAAAAGGGUACAGAUACAUAACUAAAAGUGAGGUUUUGAAGAUUUCCAAAGGUUCCCUUGUUGUGAUGAAAGGCUAGAGAAAUACUGCCAAGUUAUAUGUUUUGUAGGGUUCUACUGUUACUGGUGAUGCAACUGUCCCUUCCUCUUUCUUGUCAGAUGAUGAUAUUACUAAACUUUGGCAUAUGCGUCUAGGGCAUAUGAGUGAGAAUGGCAUGGCAGAAUUGAGCAAAAGGGAACUUCUUGAUAGGUAAAGAAUUUGCAAACUUAAGUUUUGUGAGCACUGCGUUUUUGGGAAGUAAAAGAGAGUUCGAUUCACUAGAGGAAUUCAUAACACAAAGGAAACGUUGGAGUAUAUUCAUUCUGAUCUGUGGGCAUAUUUAUUGAUGAUUUUUCCAGAAAAGUUUGGGCGUUCUUCCUAAAGCAGAAAAGCGAUGUGUUUUUCGCAUUUAAUUCUUGGAAAAAUAUGAUUGAAAAAUAGACGAAAAAAUGAAUCAAAUACCUCUGCAUAGACAAUGGCUUAGAGUUUUGUUUUGAUGAGUUUAAUAAACUAUGCAAGUCAGAAGGGAUCGUGAGACACUUGACAGUUCGUCAUACCCCACAGCAAAAUUGUAUUGCAGAAUGAAUGAACAGAAUGAUCAUAGAGAAGAUUCGAUGUAUGUUGUCAAAUAUCAACUUACCAAAGUCAUUUUGGGCCAAAGUAGCCUCUACUGCAUAUUUUUUGAUCAAUCGAUCUCCAUCCGUUGCCAUUAAGAAAAAGACUUCACAAGAGGUAUGAUCUGGUAAUCUUGCUGACUAUUCUGAUUUAAAAAUCUUUGGGUGUCCUGCGUAUGCUCAUGUUGAUAAUGGAAAAUUGGAACUGAGAUCCAUUAAAUGUGUAUUUCUUGGUUAUAAAGCUGGUGUAAAAAGGUAUAAGUUAUGGUGUCCUGAAAAUAGAAAAGUUGUGAUUAACAGAGAUAUUGUUUUUUAUGAAACUGCUAUGCUACCUAACUUAUCCCUUAAAGACUCUUCCAAUAAAGAAAAUCAAAAGCAAGUGGAGCAUCAGAUUAAUCCAGAAUCUACAAUAGAGUCGACUCCUCAAGCUAGCACAAAAAUUCAUAAUAGAGUUGCUUAUUCACCAUAAUACUCUAUCGCCAAAAAUAGAACUAGAAGAGAAAUUAAACUUCCAAAGAAGUAUAACAAGGCUGAUCUAGUUGCUUAUGCUUUAAAUGUGGCUAAAGAUAUAGAUGCAAACCAAGAGUCAUCUAAUUAUUUUGAGACAGUUAGCUGUGAAGACUCGGAAAAGUGGAUGCUUGUUAUGCAAGAGGAGAUGAAAUCACUCCACAAAAAUAGAACAUGGGAUCUUGUGAAACUUCCUAAAGGUAGAAAAGUUGUUCGUUGUAAAUGGGUGUUUAAAAAGAAAUAAGGGACUCUAGGAGUUGAAGAACCCAGAUAUAAAGCAAAUCUUGUUGCAAAGGGUUAUAGUCAAAUUCCAGGAGUGGACUUCACAGAUCUGACUUCACAGUUGUGAAGCAUAGUUCGAUUUGAGCUUUGCUUGGUAUUGUGGCCAUACAUGAUUUGGAGCUUGAGCAGUUAGAUGUAAAAACUAUAUUUUUACAUGGAGAACUUGAGGAGGAUAUUUACAUGCAAAAACUAGAGGGUUUUACAGUCUCAGAAGAAAAGGACUAUGUUUGCUUGCUGAAAAAGUCCCUUUACGGUUUGAAACAAUCACCAAGAUAGUGGUACAAGAGGUUUGAUUCUUUUAUGACUUCUCAUGAUUUUAAAAGAAGUAGCUUUGAUAGUUGUGUUUACUUUAAGAAAAAUAAUGAUGGUUCUUCUGUGUAUCUACUCCUUUAUGUUGAUGACAUGUUGAUAGCAGUGAAAGAUAAAUGAGAGAUAAGAAAGGUCAAAGCCAACUAAGUGAAGUAUUAGAGAUGAAAGAUUUGGGACUAGCAAAGAAGAUACUUGGUAUGAAGAUUCUUAAAGAUAAAAAGCAAGUAAAUGGUACCUAAGUCAGAAGGGGUACAUUGAGAAAAUUCUUUGCAGGUUCAAUAUGCAGAGUGCUAAGCCUGUUAAUACUCCUUUAGCAGCCCAUUUCAGACUUUCAUCGGCUUUGUCUUCACAAUCAGAUGAUGAGAUUGAGUACAUGUCACAUGUUCUAUACUCUAGUACAGUGGGAUCUCUCAUGUAUGCUAUGGUUUGUUCACGUCCAGAUUUAUCAUAUGCAGUCAAUGCAAUUAGCAGAUACAUGACAAAUCCUGGUAAAAAAAGAUAUAUGGCAAAUCUCGGUAAAAAACAUUGGAAAGCAAUUCAGUCAAUUUUAAGAUACUUACGAGGUACUACUAAUGUUUGCGUACAAUUUGGAAAAACUAGAAAUGGAGUCAUUGGGUAUGUUGAUACUGAUUUUGCUGGAGAUCUUGAUAGAAUAAUAUCUCUCACAGGUUAUGUCUUUACAAUCAGAGGUUGUGCAAUCAGUUGGAAAGCCACUUUGCAAACUACAGUUGCUUUGUUUACCACUAAAGCUGAGUACAUGGCGAUUACUGAGGCUUGUAAAGAAGCUAUUUUGUUGAAGGGACUCUUUAGUAAACUCAACAAAGACCUUCAAAUCAGUACAGUAUUUUGUGACAGUCAGAGUGCCAUCUCCCUUACAAAAGAUCAAAUGUUUCAUGAGAGAACAAAACACAUUGAUGUUCGGUAUCAUCUUGUUCGUGAUAUUAUUACUCGUGGUUAUCUUGUUGUGAGCAAAAUUAGUACUCAUGAAAAUCCUACAGAUAUGAUGACUAAGUAACUUCCUAUAACCAAGUUUGAGCAUUGCUUAGACUUGGUUGGUGUUCAUUGUUGAAGUUAAACCCUUAAGGGGUUUUAUGGAAAAGAUGGAGAACUUGUUCGUUGAGAGUUCACGAUGAAGAACUUGUUCAUUGAGAAUUCAUGUCAAGGUGGAGAUUGUUAGAAUUAAGUGAGUUGAAUCCUUAUUUAAAUAAAAUACAGUGGUAAAAUAAAAUAAAAGUUUAGAAUUAAGUGAGUUGAAUCCUUAUUUAAAUAAAAUACAGUGGUAAAAUAAAAUAAAAGUAAAAUCCAUAUAGAACUACACUUCUUUUAUUUUAUUUUAGAAUAAGGUUUUUAAAACCUUAUUAAACUUCAUCUAUUUGAUAUUGAUUAAAAUAAGGUGUUUCAAUCUUACUAUACUUCUAUUAGAAUAUGAUUUUACAAGCUUAUAAAUAGACAUAGUCUACUCCUCUUAUAAUCAUUUGAAUUCGACAUAGUGAAUUUUCUCCUCCUCUGCCUGUGGUUUUUUUUUCCGGAAAGGGUUUCCACGUAAAAUCUGUGUGUGCUUUAUUUUUUAUUUCUCUUUUCUUUGUGACAUAUUGUCAUUACCAACAUUCUAUUUAUUUUACAUAAAUCUUUCCAAAUCAAAUAUUUUGCUUUCAACACCUUAAUGGGGAUGAUGACAAAAGCAUGUCAUAAAGAUAGUCACAAUCACUUCAAUUUAAGAUCAAGAGUAAUCAAUAAUUCAAUCCUCUUUUGAUUUAAAUGAAAUAUAAUAUUUUCCUUAUUCACAAUCUCAAUAUGAGAUCCAUUAUGAAUAUCUUUUAAAUCCAAUGGAUUAACCAUUACAAGAUAUUAAUAUAUUAGCUCUUCUAGAGCUUUCGACUAAUCUUGUACUACCAAAUAUUGGAAUAAUAUUGGUCUUUAUUUUCUUUUAUGCUUGUAUUCACUUUGGGUAAUGCAAUAGAUUUACUAGGACAAACUUAUAAACGUCCCAAUAGAUUCUUUAUUUCAUAAUCACCAUCGGAAACAUACGUAGAUUUCAAAUCAAAUUCUAUCUAUUCAUGUUUGUCAUGAUUAGUCUCCAAUUAUAAUAAACAUGAUAUAAUAAAUAAAUCAUAGUAAAAUAUACCUGAAGAUCUUUAACAACAUCGUCGUCACCUUGGUUAUUAUCAGGAGCAUUGAGUUGUUAAAGGCUCUAAUAAUUACCCAUAGUGCGCAGGCCUCAAUUGAAACAGCAGCAACCCUAGGAGACAAUAGACAAUAGACAAUAGAAAAUUUGGGGAUAUUCUUGUGACUUAUGGAGAAAAAAAAUAAAAGAGAAUCGUUUUGGUAACAUUUUAUAAAAUAAAAGGACAGAAAGUAAAGAACAAAGAGAAAAUGAGAGAAAAGAGAAUGGGAGAGCAAAGACAGAGCAUAUUUUAUUGAUCAAUCGGAAUAUUUACAAAGCUUCUCCAAAGUCUCAAUUUAUAGGCACAAGAAGUAUAAAUCAUGUAGAGAUCUACUUCUAAUGACUAUUAGAAUUUAAAGUAUAUAAAAACUUAUCUAGAUCUUGAUGGACAUCCAAUUAAUAAAAUAUUCAUAACAAAACUUUACAUUUCAGUGUAAUCAUUUUUAAUUCGCUAGUAAAUUCCAAUUAAGUCUUUAGCAUAAUAAUAAAUAGUUAAAAGUUUUACUUUUUUUAAUAUUAUUCAUGCAUCGGUCGAUGCACCAUGUUCCAAUCAGUGUGAUUGGAUUUGGUUGAAACAAGCCGAUGUAACCGAUAUGAAUCAGAAUUUUCACCAGUACAAAAAAAUAUGUUGGUUGUUCCGUUUUAAAAUUGGAUCAAUGUACUUUAAUUGGUAUGACUGGAAUUGAUGCAGAAUUGACCACCAUGUUUUUUCUACCACUCUCAUGGACUUUUUCAUUGUCCUUUCUAAUUCAAAACAAGAAAAGCUCGUAGCUAAACCACAAUAAUUCAGAUUUUAUAUGGAUAUUUUGUGCAUGAAAAUUGUUACUCGUAUUAUAUUUAUCAAGGUUGCAAUUGUACAUUCAAUACUAUGCUAAAGCUCUUGUCAACCAAUACCGAAAUUUUUUUUUUGAAUAAUCUUGAGAGAAAGAAAUAUCAGGUUCAAAAUUAGUAUUAUAAAGUUGAAUGAUAAUAGUACACGAAUUAAUUUUUAAUGAUAAAAAGAGGAGCUGGUUUUAUGUAUUAUAAAGUUAAAAACUAAUACAUGAUCAUAUUCAAAUCGUAAAACGAAUGAAGACACAUGUGAUUAUAAAAUAAAAUAACACAUGAUCAUAUUCACCACUUAUGUAAAUAUCUACUUUCAAUAAAAAAAAAAAGCCUAUAGCUCAUACAUCACUGAACUAGAGCUUAAACAUGUGAAGCUAAAAAAUAAAAUUAGAAUAACACAAUAUACAAUCAGAACUAACCAUUCAUCAAUUACACCAAAACAAAUAGGAAUCAUAUGUUCCAUCACAUCUAAAAUGAUUUCAAUCCUUUCUUGAUCCAAAUACACAUGCUCACUCACCUCUUUCUAGUCAAUUAACUCAAUCAGAGGUUCGAAAUAUUUUAAUUUGUAGUGAUAACAUAACUAUCCAAAUGAAUGGUCAUAUUUAUUAAUAAUAAACAUUAUUAUUCAAUAGACCUCUACUUGAAUAAUUAUGGAUUUUUAUAAAUAAUCAACAUAACUUUUAGUAACAAGAGACAUAACUCAUCUCUAUAAAUAGUGAUAAUUCUUGGUUGAGAACUCUUGGUUAAUAAGCAAGUGGCAUAAUUUUUAAAUAUUUUUAAUUUUCCAAUUAUAUAUUAUACAUAUUUUGAAAAUGUUUCAACAACUUAUAAUAACUUUUCACUUAUUUUUGCAAUUGAAGUUCUCAAAAUAAUUUCUAUAUAAGCUCAAUUUUGAAAGUUUUUGCUAAAAAGCAACAAAAAAAUAUUUAGAUAUGGAAACAGAAAAUAACUUGGAGGGUUGUGGAGUUGAGAAAUUAGGUACUAUUAUAGCUAUUGGCACAACAAAUCCACCCAACUGCUUUUACCAAGCUAAUUAUCCAGAUUUCUACUUUCGAGUGACUAAAAGUGAACACAUGACCCAAUUAAAAGACAAAUUUCGACGAAUAUGUAAGUAUCAUAGUUUUGUAAAAGCUAGGAAUGGAUUGUUAUUUUAUAUGUAAUCUUCCACCAAAUUACUUUUCCAUUUCCUCACUAAUAUAGAUGUAAUUUAUAUAUGUUACCAGGUGAGAAAUCUACAAUAAAGAAACGUUACAUACAGUUAAGUGAGGCCAUGCUGAAAGAGAAUCCCUGCUUAAUUAUCUACAAGGCUCCAUCCUUUCACGUUCGUCAAGAUAUGCUUGUAAAGGAAGUACCAAAGCUUGGUAUGGAAGCAGCAUUGAAAGCCAUCAAAGAAUGGGGACAACCCAUUUCAAAGAUCACUCACCUUAUAUUUUGCACAUCAUCAGGGAUAGACAUGCCUAGUGCUGACCAUAAGCUUGCUAAUCUUAUUGGCCUCAAACCCUCUGUUCAGAGAUUCAUGAUUUAUAAUCAAGGUUGCUUUGCUGGAGCCACUGCCCUGCACCUUGCCAAGGAUUUGGCCGAGAACAAUGCUAGUGCUCGUGUACUUAUUGUUUGCUCCGAGAACAUGAUCAUGAGUUUCCAACCACCUUCGGAGACCCAUUUAGACAUACUCAUUGGCUCCGCCAUAUUUUUUGAUGGGGCAGCGACUUUGAUUGUUGGUGCUAAUCCUAUUGUCAGCAUCAACGAGUGCCCUUUAUUUCAAAUUGUAUCAGCAAAUCAAAGCAUUAUCCCUGAAUCCGAUGAUUUACUAAUAGGAAAAAUACGUGAAAUGGGGAUGGAGUAUUAUUUAUCGAGAAAUUUGCAUCAGUACGUGUCUAACAACAUCAAGCAAUGCAUGGUCGAAGCGUUUACUCCAUUUGGAAUCAGGGAAUGGGAAAAUUUGUUUUAUAUAGUUCAUCCUAGUGGAGUAGCUAUUCUUAAUGGAAUUGAAGAGAAACUUGGGUUGAAUAAGGAGAGGCUUAGAGCAAGUAGGCAUGUGCUAAGUGAAUAUGGAAACAUGUGGGGUCCAAGUGUAACACCCCUAACCCGAAUCCAUCGUCAGAACAGGGUUACAGAGCAUUACCAAAAUUUACAGAUUGAUUUUUAGACGUUUCAUUUCAUCUAGCAUUCAUAUUUGAAACCAAUCAAAAUUAAAACAUUAAUGAGCCAACGUUGGCUAAAAUUAACUUAUACAUGCCAUUAUAACUAGAAUCAAAUCAUCCGAAAUUACCGGUAGAACCAAUGGAUAGUGUGAUAUAUCUCUGACAAGCUUCCAACCCAAUCGAACUUUUGAUAAUCUGUAGGGUAAAUAAAAAAAUACGUAAGCAACGAAUGCUUAGUAAGCUCAGUGUAGUCUUUAAUCAUAUUAGUUCUUUUAAAAUAUUAAAUCUAUACAUAUCAAGGAUAACCCAAUAUUAGUUCUUUUAAAAUAUUAAAUCUAUUCAUCAACUUACAAGGUGAAUAAAUCCACAGUAUCACUUAAACAUAUUAUCCCAAGCUUAGUAGGAUUUUAUAUAACUUUAACUCUUGAUAAUUUCUUUAUUUUCAUUUGCAUUUCUUCACUUUCCACGCUUGUUCCAUAUGCAUGUCACACAAGUCCUAAACAUAUCAUUCAACCAUGGUCACAAACUAGUGCAUUUACCCAGAUCCUUUCCUGAACUGAUUACAUGAUAAGUCAUUUCAUAAGAAAUUGCAUAAUUUAAACCAUACCACUUUUUCAUGAACACUAGCAUAUUUUCCUUCAAAUACUUAUCAAUUCAAUGCUUCCAUUAAAAAAAUCAAAUUACUAUUCAACCAAUAGCUUGGCACUUGCCUAAGCAUCAAGCAACAAUACUGAUUAGUGUACUUGCACACAUUACAUAUAAACUCAUCAUGCAUAAUUUUCUUGUUUCAACAUAUUAAAGAUAAUCAUACAUUUACAUGUCAUGAUACAUAUCAUUCUCUUAUCGUUUCUUAAUAGGUAUAUAUCAUUCAUUUCAUUAUUUCAAUAUUUCAUGUACCAUCAUUUUUAUGAAUUUCGCGUACAUACCGGUAAUAGUUCUCAUGUUAUCUCACUUCAAAACUUUACCCGUUAUAUCAUUUAAAUAUCAAUGGUUACAUUUAUUUUAGAUCAAUACCAAUAAUAAUCUAUAAAUCUUUCAAUUCAACCACAAAAGUCUUUUACCGUUUCUUUCUGUAUCGAAGAACGACUUACGGAUAUGAGUACAUCGUUUUCAGAAGCCCGAAGGCUGAACUUAAGCUCAUGAGAGCUAAACAGAUAGUAAACACAAAGUCUGCAACAAAUGCUGAACAUCGGUUUACUUGGGUAAUUUACUGUCAAUUCCUCCUUUACAUUUGUAAUGCCAUAGCCCAGUUAUGGUCUUAUCUGUCAAUUCAUCCUUUGGCACAGAACGAUUGUACUCAAUCCCGCGUUCAAUCCAAACUGGGUAUUAAAUUCGAUAAUAUAUUUCCAAUAAUAAUUCAAUUCCAUAUUUUCUAUUACCCUUAUUAUUUUCCAUAUUUAUCCCGUUGAACUACUUGGAAUUUCGAUGGAUUUUCAGGGGUACACCUAAGUGUACAAAUCCGAGUCCGUCAAUUCAUAUUCAUGUGUACACAUUUCCAUUUCAGAGAGCACACUCCCGCGAACCUCAUCCUUAUAGCGGGAUUACCAGUCCAGGCUAAAUCCCCUGUAAUAUAAACUCAUAGAGUAUUGUCGGGAUUACUAGUCUAGGCUAAAUCCCCUGCAAUGACAAUUACUCUAUGAGCUUGGAUCUGAAUUACCAAUCCAGGCUCAAUUCAGACCCUAAUUCGGAUUACCCGUCUAGGCUAAAUCCAUUUUCCACAUAUUCUUCGGGAGGGCUAUAUCAGGAUAGGAUCACCCAUCCGGGCUAGAUCCUUUUUACCAUCAAUUCCUUUUCAGAGAUCAUCGAAUUUUUCUUUCAUUCAACCGGGAUUUUCUUCCCCUUUUUAUAAACUAUAUCAUGUUUCAUCAAUUUUCAUAUAAUGAACAUUCAAAUCAUAUUCACAUCAAUAACCAUACAUUUCAAGCAUUUAAGAAUAUAAUUCAAGUUAGACAAACUUACAAGGCUAAAUUACAGAAUAACCAAAAUUCAGGGACAUUUUAAUACUUUUCCAUUUUCCUCGAAUUUCCACCCAUCUUGAUCUAAAUUAAUAUUUCAUUAAAUUUAUUAAUUUAAAUAAUAAAAACAAUUCAUUUCAUGCAAUUGGUCAUUUUUGACAUUUUUACAAAAUUACCCUUAAAAUUUCACUUUAUUCAUUUUAGUCCCCGAAUCUAAAACAUGUAAAUUAGCUACUUUAAAUAACUCAUAUUAUCUGAAUAUUCACAUAUAUUCUUUCAUCCUCCUCCACUCUAUUCCACAUCCUUGAUAUAUACAUAAUACCACUAUUUACUUGUUUACUCAUAACAAGCUGUUCACUUGAGUUAUAGUCACUAAUUAAUUAUAUCUUAAGCUACAGAACUUCAAUUGAGAUCCGAAAAUUUCCAUGAAACAAGACUCACAUAUAAUUUUUACCAUAAAAUUUUUCAUAAUUUUUGGUUUAGCCAAUAAGUACAGUUUAUUCUUUAAAGUUUUCCCUGUUUUUACUCUUUAACAGUUCUUACCCCUUUUCACUAAAAAUUAAUUAUCUCUUUGUACAGAAUCUCAGAUGAUGUUCUCGUUUGUUUCUAUUGAAAAUAUACUCAUUCAGAAUUUUAAACAUAUGAAUUUAAUCCUCUAAUUAUUUUUAUUUAUUUUUUUAUGAUUUUCCAAAGACAGGAACAGGGAAACCCAAAUUCAUUCUGACCUUAUCUCACAAAAUUUAUUAUAUCUCAUGAUUUACAAUUACAUUACUUACAACAUUUCUUCUAUGAGAAACUAGACUUAAUAAUAUUUAAUUUCAUAUUUUUUUCAUUCUCUAAUUCGAUUUUCAUAAUUUAUGGUGAUUUUUCAAAGUUAUCCUACUGUUGCUGUCCAAAACUGUUUUAGUGCAAGAUGUUUACUACCAUGUUUAUAACACCCUUACUUUCUUUCUCUACACUAUUUCUCAUCACUUUCUCUUAUUUUCUCUUCACUAACAUAUCAAGAACACAAGACCUUAUAUAAGAAAAACUCUACUAUAACAUUAAUUUCCUACUUUUUCAAUAAUAUCCCACUCAAAAAUAUAUUGAAAUCUUGAUGUUCUUACCUUGUGCUAUUGAUUUCAAUCUUUAACUUGAUUUUCUCUCUCCUCCAGCUUCUAUUUCUUGAAUCUAAUUUGAUAUUCUAGCUCCCCAUUGUCUCCUUAUUAUUUUUCUCUUUGGAAGCUAUGGAAAUUCUUUGAUUUCUAAGUGAAAAUAGUGAAUUUUUGGUAAAAGGACCAAAUUGUAAAGAAAAGAAAGUUUCUUUCUUUCUUUUCUCCCACAUGUUGGAAUGCAUGAGAGGUUGAUGAUGAUUUUCAUCUUCCUUUUCUUAUAUAUAUACUAAAUAAAAUAAUAAUAAAAUAAUAAAAUAUCAUUUAAAAAUCAAAUUAAAAUAUUAAUAAACUAAUAUUUAUUUAUUUAAUUAAUCUAAAAUAUCUCCAGCAUCAUCAUUAUCUUCUAGUUUUCUCUCUAUUCUAAUUGAACAUUUUGCCCUUUAUGAUCUUUUAAAAUUUCAUCCUUAAGUCAUCACUUAAUUUGGUAAAAUUGUAAUUUAGUCCCUCAAAUUCUUCACCUUUUUCAAGUUGGUCCUAAUCCAUCCAUUUCCUUAGUUUCUAGAUCAUUCCACCCUUAAAAUAUUUACACCAUUGGUCCUUUAAAUUUUUAUAUUUACACUUUAACCCCUCAAAUUUUGAGUAUUUACUCUUGGGCAACAAAACGUUUCUCACUUUUACGAUUUAAUCCUUUCUUGAACUAAUAUGUCAUAAUAAUACUUCCCAAUGUUGACAUAACUCCAAAUUUUCCCUUUUUGUCGCUUUAUUUCCUUAUUUUAUUAUAUCAAAGAUAAUAUAUUACUGUAAAAAAAUUUUUGGGGUAUUACACCAAGCGUGAUCUUUGUUCUUAAUGAGAUGAGGAAAAUGUCGGUGUUGGAAGGCAAAGCCACCACAGGUGAAGGUCUUGAGUGGGGCGUGUUGUUCGAGUUUGGGCCAGGUCUCACGGUGGAGACAUUGGUGCUUCGUAGCUUUGCUACAAAUUCAACACCAUAGUCCAUAGCUAUUGAUGGUGUGUGAAACUUUUUUUGUUCAACAAAAUUGACGGUGUGUGAAACAAUAUGUGAAUGUGAACAAGAAGAUUGAUACAUGUUUCUUUAAGAAAAAACUUAAAAACAUAAGUCUAGAACAACGAACCGUGAAACCUUUAAAAUAAUAAUCUUUAUAUAUUAUUGUUUAAGGUUUCAAUAUAUUUUGUUAGUGGAUUCAGAAAAAAAUUCCUUCACCCCUUAUGUAAAUAUCUAUUUUCAAUAAUAAUAAUAAAAGCCUAUAGCUCAUACAUCAAUGAACUAGAGCUUAAAAAUGUGAAGCUAAAAGAUAAAAUUAGAAUAACACAAUAUACAAUCAGAAGUAACCAUUCAUCAAUUACACAAAAACAAAUAGGAAUCAUAUUUUCCAUCACAUCUAAAAUCAUUUCAAUCCUUUCUUGAUUCAAAUACGCAUGCUCACUCACCUCUUUCUAGUCGAUUAACUCAAUCAGAUGUUCGAAAUAUUUUGAUUUGUAGUGAUAACAUAACUAUUCAAAUGAAUGGUCACAUUUAUUAAUAAUAAACAUAAUUAUUCAAUAGACCUCUACUUGAAUAUUUAUGAAUUUUUAGUAAUAAUCAACAAAACACUUUUAGUAACAAGAGACAUAACUCAUCUCUAUAAAUAGUGAUAAUUUUGGUUGUGAACUCUUAACUAAUAAGCAAGUGACAUAAUUUUUAAAUAUUUUUAAUUUUCCAAUUAUCACUAUUAGAAUAUUAUACAUAUUUUGAAAAUGUUUCAACUUAUAAUAGCUUUCACUAAAAUUAAAUAGGUGGUACUUGCAAUAAACUAAUGCCAAAGUAAGUAAUAACAUGAUCGCAGGCUACAGCAAGAAUUGAGAGCCACCAUAUUCUAUAAAAAUCUGAAGCUUGUGAAAGUACGAUCAAUAAUUACCAACAUAAUCGUGUAUGAAUUGUUGGACAAUUGACAUGGGUUUUUUAUAAGGUAAAUAGUAUCAUAUUUAUAGAUAUAUUAUUUUUAUUAAAAUUAAUACGUAUUAGUUUGUUUCGAUGUAUCCUUAUUUUUUAAAGAAAGGUAUUUAAUAUAUGUGUAUAAAAAUAUGCACAAUAUCAAAUAAAUAACACUAAAUAAAUUUUAAAUACAAAAUAUUCAUCAAUUAUAUAAAAUUUUCAAAAAUAAACUCUACAAAUAAAAUUCAUUAGUCAAUGGAUUAACAAGGAAAAGAACUUAAGGGUGAGUAGAGAUUUUUUUUUUUUGUAAUAAUGUGAAUAGGGGUUUUAUAUUUUAAUUGUGAAAGUAUGUCCUAAAACUAAAACCUUUAAUGUUUAAAAUGUUAAACUUUACUUUUCAUGUAAUCAUUUUGAUUCGUUAGUAAAUUCCAAUUAAGUAUUUAGAAUAAUAGUAAAUUAUUAAAAGUUUUUUUUAAUAUUAUUCAUGCAUCGGUUGGUGCACCAUGUUCCAAUCGGUGUGAUUGGAAUUGACCGAAAUCAGCCGAUGUAAUCGAUAUGAAUUGGAAUUUUCACCAGUGCAAAAAGUGGUGUUGCUUGUUCCACUUUAAAAUAGGAUGGACUCGGCAAAUUGGAGAUCUUGAAACGACAUGUUUUGGUUUGAUUUAAUUAAGUUUUUGUGAGUUAUAAUAAUCUGUUUAAUUUGGACUAGAAAUAAGUUUUAGGAACUGUGGUAUGGAUUUUGAUUUCGUUAGGACUCGUAAGAAUGCGGGAUUUUGGUUUUGAACGGAAGUUAUGAUUUAUCAUGCAUGGACUAUAGUUAAUCAAUUACUAUUCCUUUAUAAAGAACACACGAUUUCAAAAAAAUAACUUAUAGUUUCUGUUUUAAAAAUAAAUGAUGUAUUUUCUAAUGUACCUGAUUUUGAAAUUUCAGUUGACAAUUAGCAAAACUUGAAUUAUCUGCAAAAUGAAUAUUUACAAUUAUUAAAUUGGUUUUAUUUUAAUUCUAACAACGAUUAAACCCCUAAUUUGCAAAAUAUAAGUAAAGAUUUUAUUGGAUUUUGUUAAGCAUUAAAAGAAAAGGGUUUUCAAAAAGAGGUUUUUUAGAUUUGAUCAGUAUUUUAAUUUGGGACACUUUGGUGAGCAAUGUGACCUCAGGAAUUCGGUCGAAACUUCUGGGCUGAGUUUUGGGGUGUUACAAUAAAUUUUAAAUAUAAAGAAUUCAUUAGUUAUAUAAAAUGCUCAUCAAUAAACUCCACAAAUAAAAUUUAUUAUUUAAUGAAUUAACAAGAAAGAACUAAAGGGUGAGUAGGGCCUUUUUUUUUGAUAAUCAUGUGAAUAGUUAAAAGUUUUAUUUUUAACCUAAUAUUUUAUGUAUUAUAAAGUUAAAUGAUAAUAGCACACAAAUUAAUGUUUAAUGAUAAAAAGAGGAGCCAUUUUUAUGUAUUAUAAAGUUAUAAAUUAAUAUAUGAUUAUAUUCAAACCCUAAAUGAAUGAAGGCACAUGUGAUUAAUAAAAUCAUAUUGAAUAGCCAAAAAUACACUUAUCCUUAGAUAAGAUAAUUUGCCAAACACUAGUGAAAUAGGAUUUAAUCUUCUUGGAGCUUUAGGAUUUGGCAAGUUAGGUUGGUCAAAUGCUAAAAGUUCAUUAACAUUAUUGCCUAACUCACUUAUUUUUGCAAUUGAAGUUCUCAAAAUAAUUUCUAUAUAAGCUCAAUUUUGAAAGUUUUUGCUAAAAAGCAACAAACCAAAAAUAUUUAGAUAUGGAAACAGAAAAUAACUUGGAGGGUUGUGGAGUUGAGAAAUUAGCUACUAUUCUAGCUAUUGGCACAACAAAUCCACCCAACUGCUUUUACCAAGCUGAUUAUCCAGAUUUCUACUUUCGAGUGACUAAAAGUGAACACAUGACGCAAUUAAAAGACAAAUUUCGACGAAUAUGUAAGUACCAUAGUUUUGUAAAAGCUAGGAAUGGACUGUUAUUUUAUAUGUAAUCUUCCACCAAAUUACUUUUCCAUUUCCUCACUAAUAUAGAUGUAAUUUAUAUAUGUUACCAGGUGAGAAAUCUACAAUAAAGAAACGUUACAUGCAGUUAAGUGAGGCCAUGCUGAAAGAGAAUCCCUGUUUAACUAUCUACAAGGCUCCAUCCUUUGACGUUCGUCAAGAUUUUCUUGUAAAGGAAGUACCAAAGCUUGGUAUGGAAGCAGCAUUGAAAGCCAUCAAAGAAUGGGGACAACCCAUUUCAAAGAUCACUCACCUUAUAUUUUGCACAUCAUCAGGGAUAGACAUGCCUAGUGCUGACCAUAAGCUUGCUAAUCUUAUUGGCCUCAAACCCUCUGUUCAAAGAUUCAUGAUUUAUAAUCAAGGUUGCUUUGCUGGAGCCACUGCCCUGCGCCUUGCCAAGGAUUUGGCCGAGAACAAUGCCAGUGCUCGUGUACUUAUUGUUUGCUCCGAGAACAUGGUCAUGAGUUUCCAACCACCUUCGGAGACCCAUUUAGACAUACUCAUUGGCUCCGCAAUAUUUUCCGAUGGGGCAGCGGCUUUGAUUGUUGGUGCUAAUCCUAUUGUCAGCAUCAACGAGUGCCCUUUAUUUCAAAUUGUAUCAGCAAGUCAAAGCAUUAUCCCUAAAUCUGAUGAUUUACUAAUAGGGAAAAUACGUGAAAUGGGGAUGGAGUAUUAUCUAUCGAGAAAUUUGCCUCAAUACGUGUCUAACAACAUCAAGCAAUGCAUGGUUGAAGCGUUUACUCCAUUUGGAAUCAGGGAAUGGGAAAAUUUGUUUUAUAUAGUUCAUCCUGGUGGAGUAGCUAUUCUUAAUGGAAUUGAAGAAAAACUUGGGUUGAAUAAGGAGAAGCUUAGAGCAAGUAGGCAUGUGCUAAGUGAAUAUGGAAACAUGAGGGGUCCAAGCGUGAUCUUUGUUCUUGAUGAGAUGAGGAAAAUGUCGGUGUUGGAAGGCAAAGCCACCACAGGUGAAGGUCUUGAGUGGGGCGUGUUGUUCGGGUUUGGGCCAGGUCUCACAGUGGAGACAUUGGUGCUUCGUAGCUUUGUUACAAAUUCAGCACCAUAAUCCAUAGUUAUUGCCGGUGUGUGAAACAAUAUGCGAAUGUGAACGAGAAGAUUGAUACAUGUUUCUUUAAAAAAAAACAACUUAAAAAUAUAAGUCUACAAUAAUGAACCAUGGAACCCUUAAAAUUUUCAUGUAUGAUAUAAUAAUCUUUAUAUAUUUUUAUUUUAGGUUUCAGUCUCUUUUCUUAGUGGAUUCAGAACAAAAUUCCUUUUGUAACACUUAAAUGUAACACCCCAAACUCUGCCUAGACGUUAAGACCAAGUCUGAAUGGUACAUCAAAACGUUUGAGGAAAACCAACCUCUAAGUAUCUUAAAAUUCAUCUUACAGAAAACACUUAACUACUUAAACCAACAUCACAUCCAAGUUUACAAACCAUAGUCCGAAAACAUACGUUAUUUAAAGUUUAAACAAACAAUAAAAUAUCUAGUAAGAGAUAUAACCGAGCUCCUAGCACACCGAAAAGAUUUAUUUUCUGUUGUACCUGAUUUUGAAAUUUCAGUUGACGAUUAGCAAAACUUGAAUUAUCUGCAAACUGAAUAUUUACAAUUAUUAAAUUGGUUUUAUUUUAAUUCUAACAAUGAUUAAACCCCUAAUUUGCAAAACAUAAGUAAAGAUUUUAUUGGGUUUUGUUAAGCAUUAAAAGAAAAGGGUUUUCAAAAAGAGAUUUUUUAGAUUUGAUCAGUAUUUUAAUUUGGGACACUUUGGUGAGCAACGUGACCUCUAGAAUUCGGUCGAAACUUCUGGGAUGAGUUUUGGGGUGUUACAAUAAAUUUUAAAUAUAAAGUAUUCAUCAGUUAUAUAAAAUGCUCAUCAAUAAACUCCACAAAUAAAAUUUAUUAUUUAAUGAAUUAACAAGAAAGAACUAAAGGGUGAGCAGGGCUUUUUUUUUUUUUUGAUAAUCAUGUGAAUAGUUAAAAGUUUUAUUUUUUUUAAUAUUAUGCAUGCGCUGUUCGGUGCAUUAUGUUCCAAUCGGUAUGAUUCGAUUUGAUCGAAACGAGUCGAUGUAAUUUAUAUGAAUCGAAAUUUUCACCAGUGCAGAAAAUGGUGUUGCUUGUUCCUCUUUAAAAUUGGAUCAAUGUACUUUAACUAUGACUGGAACUUAUGCAGUAUUGACCACCAUGUUCUUUCUACCACUCUCAUGGACUUUUUCAUUGUCCUUUCUAAUUCAAAACAAGAAAAGCUCGUACUUAAACCACAAUAAUUCAAAUUUUAUAUGGAUAUUUUGUGCAUGAAAAUCGUUACUCGUAUUAUAUUUAUCGAUGUUGCGAUUGUACACUCAAUAGAUAUGCCAAAGCUCUUGUCAACCAAUACCGAAUUUUUUUUCUCAAUAAUCUUGAUAGAAAAAAAUAUUAGGUUCAAAAUUAGUAUUGUAAAGUUAAAUGAUAAUAGCACACGAAUAAAUGUUUAAUGAUAAAAAAGAGGAGCCGGUUUUAUGUAUUAUAAAGUUAUAAAUUAAUCCAUGAUUAUAUUCAAAUCCUAAAUGAAUGAAGGCACAUGUGAAAUAAAAUCAUAUUGAAUAGCCAAAAAUACACUUAUCCUUAGAUAAGAUAAUUUGCCAAACACUAGUGAAAUAGGAUUUAAUCUUCUUGGAGCUUGAGGAUUUGGUAAGUUAGGUUGCCCAAACACUAAAACUUCAUUAACAUUAUUGCCUAACUCAUUUAUUUUUGCAAUUGAAGUUCUCAAAAUAAUUUCUAUAUAAACUCAAUUUUGAAAGUUUUUGCUAAAAAACAACAAACCAAAAAUUUUUAGAUAUGGCAAGAGAAAAUAACUUGGAGGCUUGUAGAGUUGAGAAAUUAACUACUAUUCUAGCUAUUGGCACAACAAAUCCACCCAACUGCUUUUACCAAGCUGAUUAUCUAGAUUUUUACUUUCGAGUGACUAAAAGUGAACAUAUGACACAAUUGAAAGACAAAUUUCGACGAAAGUAAAUAGUUAUUAAGUCUUUAUAAUAAUAGUAAAUAGUUAAAAUUUUUAUUUUUUUACUAUUAUUCAUGCAUUGGUCAAUGCACCAUGUUCCAAUCGGUGUGAUUGGAAUUGAUUGAAACGAGUUGAUGUAAAUUAUAUGAAUUGAAAUUUUCACCAGUGCGGAAAAUAGUGUUACUUGUUCCGCUCUAAAACUAGAUCAAUGCGCAUUGACUUUUUUUUUGAACAACAAUGCGCAUUGACUUAUAUUCGGAUAAGAGCAUUAUUGAAAUAGCAAAAAAAAAAAUCCACUUAUCUUCGGAUAAGAGAAUUUGCCAAACACUUGUGAAAUAGGCUUUAAUCUUCUUGGAGCUUUAGGAUUGGACAAGUUGGGUUGGGGAAAUUAUUAACAUUAAAGCUUAAUUCACUUAUUUUUGUAAUUGAAGUCUUCAAAAUAAUUUUUAUAUAAACUGAAUUUUGAAAGCUUUUACUAAAAAGUAAGAAACUAAAAAUAUUUAGAUAUGGCAACAAAAAAUAACUUGGAGGCUUCUCAAGUUGAGAAAUUAGUCGCUACUCUAGCUAUUGGCACAACAAAUCCACCUAACUAUUUCUAUCAAGCUGACUAUUCAGAUUUUUACUUUUGAGUGAUUAAAAAGUGGACACAUGAUGCAAUUAAAAGAAAAAUUUAACGAAUAUUAAGUAUCAUAAUUUCGUAAAAGCUAAGAAUUGACUGUUAUUUUAUACCUACAUAUAUAUAAUCUUUCAUCAAGUGAAUUUUCCAUUUCUACACUAAUAUAAAUGUUCUUUAUGUAUCUUCAGGUGAGAGAUCUACAAUAAAGAAACGUUGCAUGUACUUAACUGAGGCCAUGCUAAAAGAAAAUCCCAACUUAACUAUCUACAAGGCUCCAUCUUUUGAUAUUCGUCAGGAGAUCCUUGUAACUGAAGUACCUAAGCUAGGUAUGGAAGCGGCAUUGAAAGCCAUCAAAGAAUGGGGACAGCCCAUUUCAAAGAUCACUCACCUUAUAUUUUGCACAUCUUCAGGGAUAGACAUGCCUAGUGCCGACCAUAAGCUUGCUAAGCUCAUUGGCCUCAAACCUUCCGUUCAGAGAUUCAUGAUUUAUAAUCAAGGUUGUUUUGGCGGUGCCUCUGCCCUACGUCUUGCCAAGGAUUUAGCCGAGAACAAUGCUAGUGCUUGAGUGCUUACCGUGUGCUCCGAGAUUAUUGUUGCGAGUUUUCAACCACCUUCGAACACCCAUUUAGACAUACUCAUCGGCUCUGCAAUUUUUGCCGAUGGGGCAGCAGCUUUGGUUGUUGGUUCUAAUCCUAUUGCCAGCAUCAACGAGCGUCCUUUAUUUCAAAUUGUUUCAGCGAGUCAGACCUUUAUCCCUGAGUCUGAUGAUAUGCUGAUAGGGAAAGUACGUGAAAUGGGAAUAGAGUAUUAUAUGUCAAGAGAUUUGCCUAAGUACAUUGCUAACAACAUCGUGCAAUGCAUGGCUGAAGCGUUUACUCCAUUUGGCAUCACCGAAUGGGAAAACUUGUUUUACGUAGUCCAUCCUGGUGGAGCUGCAAUUCUCAAAGGAGUUGAAGAAAAACUUGGGUUGAAUAAGGAGAAGCUUAAAGCGAGUUGGCAUGUACUAAGCGAAUAUGGAAACAUGCGAAGUCCAACCGUGUUCUUAACGAGAUGAGGAAAAUGUCAAUGUUAGAAGGCAAAGCCACAACUGGUGCUGGUCUUGAGUAGGGCGUGUUACAAAUACAGCACCAUAGUCCAUAGCUAUAACUUUAUUUCUGUUGAACAAAAUUUCUAGUGUGUGAAUCAAUAUGCAAAUGUGACGCAUACUCAAUAAAAUGAGAGGAUUGUUACAUGUUUCUCUAAAAAACAACUUUAAAAAAUAUUUAAUCUAGAAAAAUGAACCGUCAUGUAUUAUUGUUUCAAAUUUCAGUAUACUCUGUGCCUCUUAGUGUUCCCCUGACACAUGGAUUCAGUUUUGUGGUCAAUCUUUGUUUUCUCUUCUGGUCAAAGAGGGAAUUGUGUUCCCUUCUCCAAAUCCAGAAGGUUGCUAUAACAGAUCUGAAAUUUGAAGGUAAUAAUUGAGUUUUGCCAUCAACAUUAUACCCCGUUUGUUUUUCUUUCUUCAAACCGAUUGAAUGUUGCUUUAAUAAAUUUGAAAUGCCAGGAAAAUGGAUCAAAUUGAAGUUGACCAUUAUGUGGCCUUUUUUAAGGAAUUCUACCCACCAUAUUUCUUUUCGAUUAAUCAUCUCAAAAUUUGACCCAAACUUUAGGAGUUAUAAGAAUUGUUCCCAUUAAACCUUAAUAGUUUCUUCCUUUUUGUUACCUAGAAAAAUAGUAUUGUCUUUGUAGAAUCCGUUUUUAAUUAAAAAAAAUGAAAUUCUUUUUUGUAUAGAAGUAUUUCUACUUUCUUUCAUCCCUUCAAAAAUUUUUUUUUAAAGAAAGCCAGUUAGGGUUGAAUUAAAAAACAAAGAGAAGAGUGAUUUUUCUUCUAAAAUCUCCAAAAUAAGCUAUAGUUGAAGUUAUAUACUUCAAUCAUUACCUUGAAAUUUCGUACCUGUUAAAGCAACAUUCAACAGAUCAGUGGAUUUGGAGGAGGGAAGGUCUUUGACCCAAAGAGAAAACAAACGGAAUAUUAUGUUGACGGCAAAAUUCAGUUAAUUGGUAUAUAAUUAUAUUAUUUACGUGUCAAUAAAUAAGACAGAAAUUUUGUUAUUAUGAAAAAUAAAUGCAAUGAGCGCUAGGGGGCCGGAAUUAUAAUUUGGUUCUUACAUAAAUUAUAUAAUUAUAAAUUGACUCUUUUAAACAUUUUCUUCUUACACAUAUUUUAUCUUUAUUUUUUGGCUAUUGUUGAUCUUUUAGGUUUUGUUUGAGUUACAUUCUUCAAUUAUUUUUUUGUCAAUCCGUGUUAAAAUUGGUACUUGCCUUUAAUACCAUUAAAAACAUUCCCAAUCAAAUCACUCCCUUAAAAUAUAUUUAAUUUUUUUAUAUUAAUAUUAAAUAGAAUAAUUAUAUUAAAAUUAAAAUUAAAAAAAUUGCAUCCCCUCCCGCUCUCUCCAUCUUCAAAGGUUUUGGAGGGGCUCCGGUGGAUGAAUGAGUGAUUUUGGAUAAGUUAAUAUAGUGUAGGGAAAUGAGUGGUUUUUGGGUUUCGGUUGGAAUGAUGAUUCUGCUUUAUUUAGUUUGUUAUAGUUUUUUUCACAUUUUUGUAUAUAUAUAUAUGAUAUUCGUACAUGAAUUACCGUGACUUACUUAAAGGAUGUUAUGUUAUGACAGAUUUUGAAGAAUGGAUUCAAGAGUUAUGUAUUUGAGUUGCUAUUUGAGUUUUAGAAUAAUGAUUUCUGGUUCAUUUUGAAGCUGAAACUUUUUCAAGGUUGAUCGUUUUGUUGUUUUAUUUGAUUCAAUGUUACCGGUUAAUGCUUGGUAAUUGAGCUAUUGUUAUGGGUUUAAACGGAAAGACAUUUGGCUUAAAGUUGGAGAGAGAGAGAGGGUGUUAUGAUUUAAAAGGAAACACAUCUCGUUUAAAGAUGGAGAGAGAGAGGAGGACGUGGGGAGGAAUAGUUAUUUUAUGUUUAAUAUUUAUAUAAAAUUAUCUUUUAAUGGGUGGUGACAUGGUGCAAUUCUAUUGGUUAAAAAAUAGAUCAACUCAAAAAUAGUUUAGAUGUCUAAUUCAAACAAAAUGAAUAAUUUAAAGGCUUCCGGUUAAUUUAGCCUUUUUUUUUUUUAGGUUGACUUUGAUAAAAGAAAAAAUGAAGGGCUCCUUAUCCAAAUUAGGAGGGCAUCCACUUAGCUCUAGGCCUAACUCGAUCAAAAUCAAAACAACACCAGAAAUAAGUCCCGCAAGUAUAUGGAAUACCAUUUUAAUCAAUGUUUUAGGCUUCAUUUGUUUUAUUGACAUAAUGAUGAAAAAGGAUCGUGAUUCCAGGUCAUUUGUCAUAAGACAAAUUAUUUAGUUACUUUGAAUUAGUAAUUGACUUUUUUAUAUCGAAAAAUGUAAUAGAUAUUAUGAUUGGGAGAACAAAUUUUAUCCCAAAGAGAUUAAGAAUAUUUUAUGAGGGUAACACACUUAUGACAAGAUCAUUGAAUGAGUACUUAACUAGUAGCUUUCGUAAUAGCAUAUAAUAAGGUAGAGUUUAAUUAUGGUAUUACAGUGGAACGACUUAAUGAUUAAAUAAUGUUGUAAUUAAUAGGUGAAAAAGUUAAAACUUAAUUACAAAUUAUUUGAGUAUUAUUUAUAUUUGUCUGGCUAGUCUAUCUGCUAACUCAAUAUAAUCAAUAACGAAGUACAUGUUAAAAUUGAUAUUGUGCAAUGAAUGAGAACGAUAAGUAGGAAAAAUAGAUCGCAUGUAUCACAAUUUAUAGUGAAUGCAUUUUCCCGCUAAGUACAAAAAAGAUUAAAUUCAUUUAUUCAAAUUAUUAUUUAAUUAUUUAUAAUUAAAUAAGUGAAGUUCAAAGUCAAAAUUCAACUAAUUACUCAUCAUAAUUUAUUGAAUGAGACAAUUACAUAUAUUUCCUCAUAGAUUUUAAUACCAUAAAGUUGUCAUAAAUUUAACGAAAUUAGAAUUGGAUUGAAAAAUAAUUUAAUUGAGAAAUUAAUUGGCUUAAGAGUCAAAAAAGUCCUUAGUAAAAAAUGAAAAAAAUCAUUUGAGCUCUUAAGAAAAAAAAUACACCCUGUUAAAUCUUUAAUGACCAAAAAAUUAAUCAACUAGGUCAUUUUGUUAAUGGAAACCGUUAGUUGACCAGUUUAACCGUUAAAGGCACUGACAUGACUGACGACAAUCACUAAGAGAUGACACAUGGCAUGCCAUGUGAAAGAAUGUUGAUAUGACAUGACACAUCAACAAAAAAUUCAUUUUUUAAUAAAUAUUUUUUAAAAAUUUUAUUUAAAAAAUAAUUAAUAAAAAUUACAUCUAGAAUGAAUCUGGACAUAAUGUUGUCCAGAUCUAUUUGAAUCUAGAUAAUUACUUGUCUAAAUUUGUUUUAGAUGAGUUCAAAAUUUAAAAAAAAAAGAAAUUAUAAAAAAUAUUAAUAAUGAUUUAGAAAUUCUAAAAAUUAUAAAUAAAUAAAAAAGAAGAUAAUAUAUGAUUAAGGUCCUAACUUCAGCCCUAUGAUUAAGACCCGCUAUGCUAUUUUGCAACAGCAUAUUUCCCUGUGCUGUCGGUUUCCACUUUCGGUCAUUUGACUUCCUUUUUGAACCAAGUGAGUGUCUAAAUUUAUAAAAAAAAAAAUGGGAACCAGAAACUGAAAAAAAGGAGCAAUAUACUGCUUUGGAAUUGAAUGUGAUUGCAACCUGUUGUCGUUGAUGGUGGCUUUUGCUGAGUAUGUGGUUAAAGUGGGUGUUCAGAAAUGCAUAUUCCAGUUUUCAAACAAUGACUGCAAAUGGGGUUGUAUUUCAUGUUCAAGUUAAAUAGAGCAAAUCCUAUUUCAGGCAAUCCACCUUCCAGUGGUUUGGUUAUGAGGCCGGGACUGAGUUAAUUCCACAAGAAUCAAAGCAUUCCUUCACCCUGAAUUUGUUAAAGCUGUACGUGUGUGUGGAGUUUGAUUGAGUCAAGUAGUUGGUUAAAAAGAUCUGUCUUGUGCAAAUAAUCUAUUAAUAAUUUAUCAAUAUUUUACUAUUAUUUCUCCUCUAAUUUCAAUAUUCUGUUUAGUGGGAUUCCUAUUUCCUAGCUAUUAAGGUUGAAAUUUUGACUAUUUAAAGGCAUUGAUUAGCGACUAAUAAAAAGUAGAAAUCAGUUCAAUUCUCAUCUGUCUCUAUUGCUAAUCCUUUUCUUUAUAGAAUAAAAACUUAGCAGCAGCUUUUAUUUUUCAACAUUGGUAUCCAAGCUAGGUUUAAGCCUUAGAUUUUUCAGCAGCAACAGUAAGCAAAGUGAUGGCCAUCUACAACUUUGUUCAACCAUCCAUUCCCCGCUUUGAUGGACACUACGAUCAUUGGAGUCUGUUGAUGGAGAACUUCUUGAGGUCCGAGGAGUAUUGGUAGGUUGUUUCUGAGGGAAUUGAGGAACCAACAAAUGACACAGUAGUGACAAGGGCUCAGAAGAAGGAAAUAGAAGGGUUGCGCUUGAAAGAUUUAAAAGCAAAAAAUUAUCUUUUCCAAGCAAUUGACUGUUCAAUCUUGGAAACCAUCCUUUGCAAAGACACGUCCAAGCAUAUUUGGGAUUCCAUGAAGAAAAAUAUCAGGGUUCUGCGAGGGCAAAGAGGCAGCGACUUCAAGCACUUCGUUCGGAGUUUGAAACACUACGAAUGAAAUCGGGUGAGUCGAUAACCCAUUAUUUUUCAGGUACAAUGGCCAUUGUCAACAAAAUGCGAAUUCAUGAAGAUAAAAUAGAUGAUGUUGCUGUGAUUGAGAAAAUACUUUGCUCCAUGACUACAAAAUUCAAUUUUGUAGUUUGUUCCAUUGAGGAAGCUCAUGUCAUCGAGGAACUUUCAAUUGAUGAGCUACAACGUUCUUUGUUGAUACAUGAGCAGAAAAUUUGCCAGCAAGAGAAGGAGCAUCAUGCAUUGAAGGCUUUUAAAGAUAAUCAUCUCACAACCAGAGGAGGUCAUGGUAGAGGAAAAUGUAGAGGCGAAGGUAGAGUAAACAAUGAUCAUGGUUACCACCAGCACGAGUCUCAUUCCCAAAAGAGAGGAAGAGGAAGAGGAAGAGGAGGUCAUCACUCUACAUCUUUCAGAACAAAGUCAACAGACGAAUCUAAUGUUGAGUGUUUUCAGUGUCACAAGUAUGGCCAUUAUCAAUCAAAAUGUCGAGUUAAUUUGAAUAAUAAAAAUAGAGACAGAACUAACUUUGCAGAAAAUGAAGAAGUAUCUUUGCUGAUGGCUUAUCAUGUCAAAGAAGAAACGUAGAAGAAUUUAUGGUAUUUGGACACAGGCUGCAACAAUCAUAUGAGUGGCGACAAGUCUGCGUUUUCGGUGUUAGAUGAGUCUAUUCGUGACAAUGUGAAGUUUGGUGAUGAUUCAAAAGUCUCUGUAAUAGGGAAGGGAAAGGUAACAAUUCAAAUGAAACGUAAUGUUGUUUAUACUAUAUCUAAUGUCCUCUUUGUUCUAGAUUUGAAAAUAAAUUUGUUGAGCAUUGGCCAACUACAAGAAAAGGGAUAUGAGAUUUCGAUUAAAGAUGAAGUUUGUAGAAUACAAGAUGAAAAAUUAGGAUUAAUUGCCCAAGUUGAUUUGACACCUAACAGAAUGUUUUUAUUGUACCUCUACACCAUCACCAACUCAUGCUUCUCUACAAGGUUGCAAGAUGAAAGUUGGCUUUGGCACUUUCGGUAUGGGUAUUUAAAUUUUGGAGGUUUAAAAAUAUUACAGCAAAAGAAUAUGGUGACAGGCCUCCCACACAUCCAAACUCCUUCUCAAGUAUGUAAAGAAUGUGUCAUUAGUAAACAACAUCGAGAACCAUUUCAAAAAGGAAAAUCAUGGAGAGCGAGGAAGGCAUUGGAGCUUGUGCAUUCAGACUUAUGUGGACCGAUCGCUCCUACGUCAAAUGGAGGUAAACGAUAUUUUAUAUCGUUCAUUGAUGAUUUUAGUAGAAAAACUUGGGUUUAUUAUUUGCAUGAAAAAUCUAAAGCUCUCACAGCCUUUAAGAGUUUCAAAGCUCUAGUUGAAAAAGAAGCAGGGACUCCAAUCAAGGUGUUGCGUAGUGAUCGUGGUGGAGAAUACAAUUCAGAAAAAUUUGUUAUUUUUUGUGAUAAGAAAGGAAAUAAGAAGCUACUAACAGCAACAUACACACCUUAACAAAAUGGCAUCUGCAAAAGAAAGAAUCGCACAAUUUUGAACAUAGUACGAAGUCUUUUAACAAGGAGCGGAGUUCCAAAAGUUUUUUGGCCUGAAGUCGUUGAACUAGCAAAUGUGCAUCCUUAACGUAACAGGAAGGGACCUGCAUGGAUGGAGAAUUUUGUGGUAGAGGGAAUUAAUGAAGAGGAAGUUACACAUUUUGCUCUAUUUUCAGAUUGUGAUCCAGUAGCAUUUGAAGAAGCCGUAAAAGAGUCCAAAUGGAAAAAAGCAAUGAAUGAAGAAAUGGUAGCCAUUGAACGUAACAACACUUGAGAGUUGACUGAUCUUUCCAAAGGGCACAAAACAAUUGGUGUGAAGUGGGUUUACAAGACAAAACUGAAGGAAAAUGGCGAGGUUGACAAAUUCAAGGCACGCUUAGUAGCUAAAGGCUAUAAGCAUGAAUUUGGUGUUAAUUACAAAGAGGUGUUUGCCCCUGUUGCUGUCAUGAUACAAUCAGGCUAGUGAUUACUCUUGCGGCUCAAAAUUCGUGGCCUAUUUUCCAAUUAGAUGUGAAAUCGGUGUUUUUACAUGGUGAUUUGAAAGAACAAGUGUUUGUUGAGCAACCUCCUGGAUAUGUAAAGCAUGGAAAUGAGCACAAGGUGUAUAGGUUAAAGAAGGCUUUUUACGGGUUGAAGUAAGCCCCAAGGGCUUGGUAUAGUCGUAUCGAAGCUUACUUUCUAAAAGAAAGCUUUCUAAGUUAUUCAUAUGAGCAUAAACUUUUUACCAAGGUUGGUGAUGGAGGUAAAAUGAUUACUGUUUGCUUAUAUGUUGAUGAUCUUAUUUCUAUUGGGAGUGAUGUUGCCAUGUUUUACAAAUUCAAGAAGUUUGUGAUGAUUGAAUUUGAUAUGACUGAUCUUGGUAUGCUUAAUUAUUUUUUGGGCAUUGAAAUGGUGCAAUCUGCUGCUAAAAUUUUUAUUUCUCAAAAUAAAUAUGUGUAAGAAAUUUUAGACAGGUUUCAAAUAAAGAAUUGCAACUCCGUUUGCACACCUACUGAAGUGGGCAUGAAGCUUAUUCGAGAUCCUGAAAGGAGGAAGGUUGAUAGCACCAUCUACAAGCAAAUGGUGGGAAGCUUGAUGUAUUAAACUGCAACAAGACUAGACAUUAUGCAUGUUGUAAGUCUCAUUAGUAGGUUCAUGGAGUGCCCAAAGGAAAUUCAUCUUUUAAUUGCAAAAAAAAUACUUCAGUAUUUGAAAGGUACUACUAGUUAUGGUCUGUUCUACAAAAAGGGUGAAAAAUCAGAUUUGUAUGGCUUUACAGACAAUGAUUAUGCUGGUGAUCGAGAUGAUAGAAAGAGUACUUCAAGUUAUGCAUAGAAAGAGUACUUCAAGUUAUGCAUUUAUGCUGGGCUCAGGGGCUAUUUCUUGGUCUUUAAAAAAACAACAAAUUGUCACUUUAUCUACAACUGAAGCCGAGUUUGUGUCCGCAACAGCUUGUGCUUGUCAAGCUAUUUGGUUGAGGAAAAUACUUGACGAACUACACUUAUUGCAACAAGGAGCAACAACAAUUUUCUGUGACAAUAAUUCAGCAAUCGAACUUUCCAAGAAUUUGGUGUUACAUGGACGAAGCAAGCAUAUAGAUGUGAAGUACCAUUAUUUGAGGGAUCUUACAAAUAAUGGCGUCAUUGAUUUGAUUUGUUGUAGGAGUGAAGACCAAAGUGCUGAUAUUUUCACUAAAUCUUUAAAGAGAGCUGCAUUUCAGAAGUUAAGAAGGUUGCUUGGUGUCUGCACUUUGGAAGAUCCAUCAGUUUGAAGCUAUAAUCUUUUAAACCAAAUAUUUGCGAGUUUUUGGUUUAAGGGAGAGUUUGUUAAAGCUAUACGUGUGUGUGUGGAGUUUGAUUGAGUCAAGUAGUUGGUUAAAAAGAUCAUGUAUUGUGCAAAUAAUCUGUUAAUAAUUUAUCAAUAUUUUACUGUUAUUGCUCCUCUAAUUUCGAAAUUUUGUUGUAGUAGGAUUCCUAUUUCCUAGCUAUUAGUUGUUGGAAUUUUGCCUAUUUAAAGGCAUUGAUUAGUGGUUAAUAAAAAGUAGAAAUUAGUUCAAUUCUCAUCUGUCACUAUCGCUAAUCAUUUUCUUUAUAGAAUAAAAACUUAGCAGCAACUUUUAUUUUUCAACAGAAUUUAUUGUAUUUGAAAAAAGGGAUUAAUCAAGUUACAGAUGAUGUCUGGCUUCUACUUGCGGACCAUACAUACGGAUACAGUAUAUAUAUUUGCAAAUAAUAGCUUAAUGGAACAUAUGGUUGUCAGGCAGUGGAGGGGAUAAAUAUAUAUAUAGAAAAGAGGGUUUCUUUGUUUAUAGAGAAAUUCCAUGAUAUUCAAAAUAUAGAGAGUUAAAAGGCGGUUAUUUUACUAAAUUGACAAAAAAAUUAAAUAUUUAUAAGAAUAAUUUAGAUUCAAAAAUAUUAACGAAAAUAACCUAGAAAGAACAAUGUACAGUGCUGUCGGCAACUCUAUGACUGGCACCCAUGUCAGAAAUGAUUAAAAAAUAUAUUUUUGGUGCCGGUAAUACAGUAGUCGACAUCCAUGUAUAUUUUUUUUACCCGUAUUUUGUACAAUACAUUUUAUACUUAAUUUUAAAAAUUAAUAAUUUUUUUGAGUGCCAUAUAGUGGGUGGCCAGCACCCAUUUUCAAACCUUUUUAAUUUUUUGGUGCCAGUACUGAGGUAGCCAACACCCAUUUUCAAUGACAAAUAUUAUUUUUCUUGAUCUCGUGAACCCAUCGGUCAGCAUCAGUACAUAUUGGAAUUUCGUGAUCAAAAAACAAAAAGAAAAAAAUAUGUAAACUCAUCUUUUGCAAAUGAUUCUCUUCGCUAUUUCUUCCCAAACCCCUCCUUUUCAUCAUCUCUUGUUUCAGAAAACUAAAAAGAAAAAAAAAGACUUAUGAUAUAAUUUAUCUGUUUCAGAAAAUGAAAAGCCAAAAACAUUUUAGAAAAUGAAAAAAAAUUGAGAAGAAUGGAGGAAGAGAAAAAAAAAAUUUGAGAUAUGGAAAAUGAAAAUGAAUGGAACAGUUGGGUUUUCAAUGAGGGAUACAACUCAUUUCUUUUUGUUUUAGUUUUAUUUAUUUAUUUAUUUACUUGUUUGUUGGUUUUCAAUGUUCUGUUGGCUUUUCAUUUUCAGAAACAGUUAAACUAUCGAAAGUUUUUUUUUUUUAAAUUUUUUGAAACAGGAGAUGAUGAAAAGGAAUGAAAGAGUUUGGGAAGAAAUAGUGAGAGAGAACUAGUUGCAAUAGAUGAGUUUGCAUAUUUUUUUCUUUUGGUUUUUUUAUCAUGGAAUAUCCAUAUGUAUUGUUGUUGGCCACCUGCUACAAGACACCAAAAAAAUUGUUUUUUUAAAGCCAUGUGUAAAAUGUAUUGUACAAAAUAUAAGCAAAAAAUACACAUGGGUGCCAGUCAUUACAUUACCGACACCAAAAAAAAAAACUUAAUCCUUUCUGACAUGAGUGCCAGCCAUGGGGUUGUCGGCACCAUCGUGCAUUGUUCCUUCCAGGUUAUUUUUAUUAAUGUUUUUGAAUCUGGGUUAUUCUUAUAAAUAUUUAAUCUUUUUAGGUCAUUUUAGUAAAAUAGUGUAACACCUCUUACCCGAGACCGUUGCCGGAAUCGAGUACGAGGCAUUACUUAGCUUAUCUUACUAAUUCGGGGCAUAAAAAUUCGUUUUAAAAAUUAAUUUCACUGUUUACAGUAAUCUGUCCAAUCACGCAGCAGUUACUAAAUUGAUUAUAACUCGAGCUACGGAACUCCAAAUUUAAUUUCGUAAUUUUUUCCUGAAACUAGACUCAUAUAUCUUUCUACCAUAAAAUUUUCAGAAUUCUUGGUUUGACCAAUUAAUACAGUUUAUUAGUUAAAUUCUCCCCUGUUUCUUCACUCGACUGUCCUGACCCCUUGGUACUAAAAAUAAAUUUUCUCAUUAUAGGAUUUUCAUAUGAUAUUACCACUUUUCAAUCAAUACACAAUUCACAUAUUCACAUAUCUCAAUUUAAUAUCUCAUUUAUUCAAUUCAUAUUUUAAUUCAUUCAAUUAAAUAUUGAUAUUCUCCUUAUUUUUAUUUACUAACAUAUUAUUCAAAAUUCAAUAAUUACUGUCAAUAAAUUCAAUAUCAAUACGUAUAUAUAUUAUUCAAUUCAAUUAUGAAACUCACCUCAAUUUGCUUAUCGUGUAUAUUAAUUUAAUUUUCAACGAUUAAUAAUUAAAUUCGAAUUAUAGUAAUACUAACCGCAAUUUCUCUCGAGUCACUCCUUGUCCACUUUCUCCUUUCCUUUCUCGGACAAUGACUCGUACACGACAUUAGCUACGUAAUUAAACAAUUAAAAAUCAUUAAUACACAAUUUUAUUAAAAUAUUUCCUUUUAUACCUAAACUUUACCCAAAUUCUAAUUUAAUCCCUUACCAAUACUAAUUUUAUUUUUCCCAAUCUAACUCUACAUUCUCUCUUAAUUCUUACUAUAAAGUCAAUUUAAUUCCUCAAUUUCACCAUAAAUCCCUAAUUUCGGGAUUCUUUCAAUUUAAUCCCUAUCGAUUCAAAACUUAUAUUUUAUUUUACAAUCACAUUCUUUACUAACUUCUAACUUGAAAUUAAAUCAAUUUAACCCCUAACUAAACCUAUAUAUUUUUCUUUCUCAAUUCAUACCCUUAUUCUACCCAAUUUCUUACUAAACUCAUAUUUAACUAUUUAAUUUUUAUCAUGUUUUCAUAAUUCCGAAUUUAUUUCAAAUUAAUCCCUAAAAUUCAAAACUUAUAGUUUAGUUUACAAUUCAAUCCUUUAUUCAAUUCCAAUCAAAAUUUCUAUCAAAUACAUCCCUAAUUUAACAAUUUAUUCAACAUGAACCAUGCUUAAUAAUCUACUAACUUCCAAAAUUUCAACUUAAAUCAAGUAGUAUUUUGUUCUAGGAUUUCAAAAAAAAUAUCAAAAUUAAGAGAAAAGGGGAUUAAAUUGACUUACCAAAUUACUUUGAACCUUAAAACCCCAAAUUUCUCUUUUUCUUUUCUUUUUUUUCUUUCUUUCCUUCCUUCCUUCUCUGUUUCGUUUUGCUCUCUGUUUCUUUCUUUCUCCCUUCUCUGUUUUGUUUUGCUCUCUGUUUCUUUUCUUUCUUUCUUUGUCAUAUAUAUAUAAUAUAAUAUAAUAUAAUAUAAUAUAAUAUAAUAUAAUAUAUUAUAUUAAUAAUAAUAUAAUAUAAAAACAUAAUUAUUACUUACGCAUGUAUAAUAUAAUAUAUAUAUUUAAAAUUAAAAAUAUCUUAGAUUUUUCUUUUGUUAUGCCGCCUCAACUUUAGAAAAAGGCAUAAUUGCCUAUUUGGUCCUUUAACUUUUCUUUAAUCUAUAAUUAAACUUUUAUCCUUACUUCAAUUUAGUCCUUUUUCAUAAUUAACUAUCAAAGCGUUAAAAUUUCUUAACAAAACUUUAAUAUUAUCCUGUUGACACUCCGUAAAUAUUUUUAUAAAUAUUUACGACUCAGUUUAUAAUAUCGAGGUCUCGAUACCUCGUUUUCGACCCAAUUUACCUAAUAAUUUCUUUUAAAUCACAAAAUUCACUGAUUUAAAAAUAUUUCUAAAAUCACACUUAACUUAUAAUUAUUAAUUAAUAAAAUUUUCUAACUUUUUCAUCAAUUUUAGUGAUCUCAAAUCACUAUUCUGACACUACUAAAAAUUAGGUUGUUACAAAUAGCCACCAAAGGUGAAACCUGGAGAAGGAAGCUUGUGAAAGGAUUUAGAGAAAGGAAAAUAGUAAGGUAAAAAGGAGAAAAAUAAAAACCAGAGAUGCGAAUCCAGUUUUGAACUUGUUUAAACAACAAGAAUAUGAAAAAUAUAUAUUUAUAUAGAAACUUGAACUUUUUUUUAGUUUUUAAUUUUUUUUAAUUUUUUUAUAAUUUCCAACUUUUUAGUUUUAAACUCAUCUAGAAUAAUUCUAAUCAAAUGGUUAGCAAGAUUCAAAUGAACAUAGACAAUCAUUUGUCCAGGUUCAUUUUAGAUAUAAUUUUUAUUAAUUAUUUCAACAUCGUUCCACGUGGUCAACUUCUAGUAGCUGUCGUCUACCAUGCCAACACCUAUAAUAGUCAAACCGGUCAACUAAUUGUUUUUGUUAAUAGAAGGACCUAGUUGAUUAUGUUUUGGUCAUUAAUGACUCAAUAGGACACUUUUUUUAAAGGGCUCAAAUGAUAUUUUUUUUUCCAUUUUUUACUAAGGGCUUCUUUGACCCUUAAGCCAAAUCAAUUUAAUUAAUAUUUUGAGAAAUAGAAAAUAAUAAUUGGGUUAGAUAAAUUAUAAGUGUUGGAUAAAAAUCCGGAUAACGUAUAUAAUUGUAAAUAAUAUACAAGAGGCCCAAUAAACAUUGUUUUAUGAAAGGGGCGAAAAACUCUAGAAUUUUCUAGAAUGUGUUGCAGCCCCUUGUGUUCCACUUCUAGUAGAAGAUUGUAUUUUCUAUUAAGCUAUUAUUAUUUAAUUACAUUUUAUUUAAACAAAACUCUUGUAUUGUUUCUCUAUAAAUAAAAACUAUAAAUUAACCUAAUUAGUAUUUUUUGAGAGCUCAUAGUUUUCGGUUCUUAUAGAGAGAAUUAACAAGCCUACUGAAAGUUAAGAAAAAAAAAUUCACUAUGUGCAUUGGUUCGUGCAAAUCUGGGUUUAAGGAUAAUAGAGAAGGUUGUCGAUAGAAAGUUGAGAAACAACGUUGAUCUCAUCGCACAAAACACAAGUACUAAUUUAAUUAAGAAUUUAUUAUUAUAAAUAUUAUAAUGCUCAAUUUUAAAAAACUUAAGCUCUCCUUAUACCUAAAAAUAUUCUUUUUUAAACUAAUUUUUUCAAAAAUCCUAACAUUGACAAAGAUAUUGUGUGUACUUGCAGAGGACCCUUGGCUUAAGUAGAUUGUUAGACUCAACAUUUAUUGUUCUAGGAAUGUGAUCUAUCUCCCAACAACAAAUAGAUUUAAAAAUAUGAUAAUGUGGAGCAUUAUCAAGUGAAUGAUCUUAAUGUGUGAAAAUUGGCUUUUAAUGGGCCCAUAACAAAAAAAAGUUAGAGAUAGUGACUAUUGAUUAUCAAGCUUACGAGAAUCAUCGGAUCCCUAUUAAAUUGACGGAUUGUAAUAAAUUAUGCCUAAUUUUUCUUUAUUUUUUUGGAUUAUAAAUUUCCUAACCAAACUUUGUCGGUUACUAUUGGUAAAAAGAGCUCGCAGGAAAAUGAUAAAAAAUUGAAGAUCAAAACGUAGAGAGAGAGGUGUGGGGGAAAGGCAAAGUUAGAAGAUACAUUGUGCUUGAGAUAAAGAGGAUUUCAGUGUUUCUAGAUCAAUUAUGUAAAGACAGAUACAUUGUGCUUUAAGAAAAAUGGACACAAAUGGAUUUCACUUGUGCUAUUGUUAACAUCUAUGCCCAGUAUGUUAAUGAUGAGCAAGUGUUGUUGUGGGAAGAUAUUCUGGAUAUUAGAAAUAACAUCUCUUGACCUUGAUGUUAUUGGGAAAUAUACCUAUAUUGUAUUAAAUAUAUAAUUAUUUUUUUUAUGUAUUUGAACGAUGAAUAAAUAGAUAAAAUUAAUUUUACAUUUCACUAAUAUAUAUAUUUUGUGUUUGUAUUUCAUUUUCUAUAUACAUAGCGAAGUUGUGAUAAGCAAAUAUUAUCCCAUUGAUUGUCUAAGUUCAAAUUGAUGAUAAGUGGCACUGUAAGAAUGUUUACAUUACGAGAAAGACAACUUACUUCAGUAGAUAAUUUAAACGAAUCCAUAAUCCCGUAAAAGAAUCAAAGUGAGCAUUUGAUUCAAAUACUUAGAAGGAUUAUUAUGUUGUCUCCAAUUCUAAUUAAGGAGAUGGUUAGUCUUGGCUAUCAGAACAGUUGGGUCUACGGGUAGAGAAAUACAUGUACUCAUUGAAAGAAUGAUACAUUGGACUGGACCCAAGUUGAAUUAAUUCUGAAUCCAUUUGUGAAUUGAUUCACUUGUGGCGUUCAUGGUGUGACUUACCUAAAUCCUGGAUUAGUCACUGACCAUGCGUAUGUGACUCAUGUGCUUUGAUAUAAGUGGAGGUUUAUACUCUAAAGAUGAUUGAGCCGAUAGCCGGUAUGUUGGUUACAUGACUUUACUAGUAACAAUGAAAUUCAUAACUCGAUUAAAGAGUUAACGAUAUCUUCUCAUUUGCAUUGUUUGGAUUAAUAAAUAUGAAACAUGGUCACGGGUUGCUUGUUCUCAAAUGAGCAAUUUAUCAUGAUCGUUAGUUGACAGUGAUCAUAUUAAUCAUUAAGAAGACACAAUGGUAACAAUGGAAUAAAAUAGGAUUAUAUUGAGUGAACGAAUUUAACUCAAAUGAAUCAAUAAUAUCAUAUGAAAGUAACACACAUAUGACGAGGUCAUUGGAUAAAACAAUUGGAUGAAUUAGUUUUGUAAAGUGUAAACAAUAAGGAGUUUUCAAUCAUGGUACUUUUUGUGGACUGACUCCAUAAUUAAGUAAAUUACAAAUUAUCAGAAUGAUUCCUUUAGAUAUAAAUGCAAUUACUCGAGUCUAAUUGUAUAUGUCUGUUUGGUCUCUCCACUAGCUCAAUAAAAGCUCGACCGGAUUGCAUUUGAAUUAAAAAAAUUUCUACAACUUCGAAAAUAAUUUAAUUGAGUCAAUUUAUUCGAUGAUAAAUUAAAUUAGACAGUCGUGAGAAUUUGUUCAACUAAAGAAUUUAAUUAAAGAUUUUUUUCAAAAAUUAAUUUAGAAAAUAUCAGUGCUUUUUGAGAAAAUUAUUUUUUUAUCAAGUAAGAUUAGAUUAAUUAAAAUAAAUAUGAUAUUUUUUAAAAUUAAUUUUUAAGUCAGACAAUUAGCCCAAUGGGUAAUUAAACUUAAAAAUUAGACCUAAGAUUAAAAAAUUGAACCCAAGACCGAAACCCAAAAAUUGGAUGAACCGAGCUGUGUAUGAAACUGGGCUAACGAUCCAAUCGGUGGCUGGACUGGAUCGACCAGGCCGUCAUUGGUCCAGACCGAAUCUACUGUCACACCAACCAGACAUGCGAAUGUCUAACCCAUGGUGCCCCAACCAUGAUAGCAAGCUAUUCAAACAACUUGCUAGGGGUCUUGGCCAACCCCAUUGUUAGCAUCGGACUAGGUGUGCAAACGCCUAGCCGAGGGAUGUUGCACCCUGUGCGACUGGUCAUGCGAACGAUCGACCUGAGAAGACACCUAUCAAUUGGGAAAAAUGGGAGGUUGGGCGUAGAGCUAGCUGUUCAAAGGGCUAGCUCCACCCUAGCCAUGACACAGACGGCCUCGUAAGGAGGCACCGAGCCGACCAGACCCAUUCGAGAAAAACAAUGAUGGUUCGGGGUGCUAGGGGGAAGUUGCGUCGACAAUGACACCAUCAGGCACGACGGUUGUGAUGACAACGAUCCGACGACCGAUAGAUGGUCGAUGAUAAUGAUUCUUUGACGACAUAUAGUAUUUUAUUAAUUUAAUAUUAAUGUGAGAUAUUAAAUUUGAUUUAAUAUUUGUGAUAAUAUUUCUUAAUUUAAUAUUAAUAUAACUAAUUUCAAUCCUAAUUUAUCUGUAUCUAAACUCUCAGUAUAAGAAGAGUGAACCAUUAUUUUGAUUAAGAGCGAGCCACAAAAUACAAAUUUUGAUUAGUUAUUUAUUAGCAAAAAAGAAUUGCUGCAGGUAACCUAAAAACUAUUAAUUAAUUAUAUACAAAGUCUCGUAAGCUUCUCUUCCUUAUCUAGGGUUUCACAAAAAAUUCAGAAGUAUGAUAUCGUAAAUCUUUUUUUUAGACUUUAGAUCCUCCAUCGAGUUGCUGCAAUGGCCAGAGGAAGAGGUGAGGAAGAUGAUGACAUUGAAGACGAAGAGUACGAAGAUGACGACCAAUUGUUGGUCGAUGAGGAUUACGACGAGGACGAAGACGUAGGGAGAGGCCGUGGCAGUUCAAGUAAGAAGCGGCGGAGAUCUGAUUUCAUCGAUGACGUGGCAGAGGAGGACGAUGAGGAAGACGAAGAUGAUGACGAUGACGAUGAGCUUUAUGGCGGUGGUGGGAAAAAGCAUAGCAAGGCUCCUCGUUUUGGCGCUCAGUUUUUUGAUCUUGAAGCUCAAGUCGAUAGCGAUGAGGAAGAGGAAGAGGAUGAGGGAGAGGACGGUAAUUUCAUGUGCUUAAUUUUGUUCUUGAAAUUGGUAAUGAAGUGGGAAAAUUGAUGAUUAAUGUGCUCUAAUUGAUCAUAUAUUGAGAUAAAUUAAAUUAAGUUAUUUUUUAGAAAUUAUUUUCAAAUUCAAAACUUAAAUUUAGUUCAACUUCAAUAUAGUUCAACUUAAAUUCAAAACUCUUUAGGUGGUUGUAUGUCAUUCUGAUAUCUAAGCAAUUAUCAGAAUGUUGUUUUCAACAUUGUUAUGGUAGUGUAAUUUAACAUCAGGAAUGACUUUGGUAGUUUUCCAACCUUUUCCUUCUGAACGUGUCUGUCGAAAAGUCUCAUUCAUUACAAUGAACUCUUAAUGUGACUAUUAUUGGCUAGGCAAGGCCGAAAUAAUGCUACAUUGCAUACUUGGCAUUUGAUGCUUGCAGAUUCAAGGAAUUCCUCCUUUUUGAACAUAAUCACUCAAUUUGAAAAUUUGCUACUUCGAUAAUUGUUAAAAUCUCAGCGAGCUCAUUGUUUUCUAAUUGUUUUUUUAUUCUAAACUUUUAUGUGAUGAAUCCCUCUUUCAUUACAUUGAAUCACAAUCAUUUGUAGGAACUGAAGAAGAGUUCAUUUCUGCAUAGUUCUUGAUUCACUUUUUACUGUUCUGUUGCAUUUGGACCUGUAUUGGGAUGGUUUGUAUUCAAUGUUUUGCAAGUUCUAAGAAUACUUCCUUGUUUUGAAAUUUAAAUUAUUCAAUUGCAAUUUCAAGGUUUUGUUUUUUCUUUUACUCCUCCCCUGGUUAUUGAGUUCUAAUUUAGUCAUUUUUUUAUGCUUCUUAGUUUUUAGCAUAUUAUUCUUGAGAAUCUUUCUAUUCCACCUAUAAUCAAUUCGUUAUAGCUCCUGCAGUAGCAGUAACUCGGAUAGAAAUGAUGUGUAGAAGCAUUCAUGUGAAUAGCAUGGCUGGUAUCAUUUGUUCACAUUUUCAAUGUUUUGCCCCAAACAAUAUUGCUUUCAAUUAUCGUACAUGUUGCUCUGAUUGAAAAAGAUAAAUGCAGUUCAGAUUGACUGAUGAGGCAUGCAUAAUCAGCACAAUGAUUUGAUUUGGUAAACCCUUAUGGAAUUGUCAUAGAAAGCUAUUUCACUGAUAAGAGUGUAAUGAAUAAGUGGCAUAUCUUAGUAUGGUGAUUUCUGUUGAACCUUCUAUUUGUGCCUGGUUUUUCAUCCUUGAUUUUCUUAAUGUUGCUGAUAUAUUGAUGUCUGGAAAUGCAGAUUUCAUAGUUGAGACUGGAGCUGAUCUACCUGAUGAAGACGUUGGUAGAAGGAUGCACCGUCGCCCAUUACCACUCCGGGAGGAUGAACAAGAAGAUGUUGAAGCUCUUGAGAGAAGCAUUCAGGCUAGGUAUGCAAGAUCAAGUCACACAGAAUAUGAUGAGGAGACAACUGAUGUGGAGCAGCAAGCACUUUUGCCUUCAGUAAGAGAUCCAAAGCUGUGGAUGGUGAAAUGUGCGGUAUGAUGAUGAUUUCCUGUGCAGUUUAAGUUUUGAAAACUUGUUAUUGGGCAGAAAUGGUUAGUACAUUAGCUGCGGAGUUCAACUAAGAUCAUGUUCAUGCAUGCUAGAUUGGUCGUGAACGAGAAACUGCAGUUUGCCUCAUGCAGAAAUGCAUUGAUAAAGGAUCUGAACUACAAAUCAGGUCUGUUAUUGCCCUUGAUCACCUUAAAAAUUAUAUUUAUAUUGAAGCAGACAAGGAAGCCCAUGUGAGAGAGGUGUGC
rnacentral:lncRNA from 1 species